CAACCAUUUGCCUCCCGCUCCGGACAUAUUCGGAGAAGGUUGGGGCGAGAUGCGCAAGCUUGGGCGUUGGAGCUUGAGUACGCGGAGAUGGAUAAGCAAAGGAGGAAGAAGGCGUAGGUGAGAAGGUAAAUCCUUAUCCCUUAUAUAUAGGCGGACGAAAACUAUGCGUCCCCACCGGCCUGAUAAAACUCGCUUAUCUCCCAAGCGCCACCAUCAAUGGCGCGGUUGGGUUACCCAUAUCCGUAUUGAUGAGAAUCCCGGAAUAAGUGGAACACGAUCUCUGCUUCGACAAGACGUGCCAAGGAAACCGCUUCGCUAAACGUGCUGAGAUGGUAUAGUAAAAAACGAUUCAAACAAAGGCUUGGUAGCGGUGUGAUGUCACGCCGCAUAAUACGUCAGCAGAUUGGACUAGUGUACAUUUUAUUAUCUCUACGGGGGAAUGUGGAAUUUAUUUUGCAGAGCCGGACACUAUCCUGGUGUUCAUGAUCUUCUCAGGAUUAUUCAAGGAAGGAACCCGCCUUGCAAUGCCGAACAUUAUGCGCGCCGGACUUAUCGUCAUUGAAGCCUGGUUCAGGGGCUACUGAGGGAGUCCUGGACUAGGGGGUGUCCGGACAGCCGGACUAUCAUCGUCCGCCGGACUCCAAGACUACGAAGAUACAAGAUUGAAGACUCCGUCCCGUGUCCGGAUGGGACUUUCCUUGGCGUGGAAGGCAAGCUUGGCGAUACGGAUAUGUAGAUCUCCUACCAUUGUAACCGACUCUGUGUAACACUAGCCUCCCCCGGUGUCUAUAUAAACCGGAGGGCUUUAGUCCGUAGGACAACAUACAUUACAACAAUCAUACCAUAGGCUAGCUUUAGGGUUUAGCCUCCUUGAUCUCGUGGUAGAUCCACUCUUGUACUACCCAUAUCAUCAAUAUUAAUCAAGCAGGACGUAGGGUUUUGCCUCCAUCAAGAGGGCCCGAACCUGGGUAAAACAUCGUGUCCCUCGUCUCCUGUUACCAUCUGCCUAGACGCACAGUUCGGGACCCCCUACCCGAGAUCCGCCGGUUUUGACACCGACAACUCAUGCUUUUGAAAAUGAAACAGAAGGCUUGGGGUCUCCACAUGGAGGCUCAGUUUAAGGAUAUUGGCGGAAAUAUCUUUGUAUUCUGCUUUGGUGGUGAAGGAGAUGGGAACACCCGUUAAAUAAUGAAUCAUGGCAAUUUGACUUUAACAUUUUAGUGCUGAAGGAUCAUGAGGGGAAUACGAGGCCAUCUAAGAUGGUUUUUGAUAUUGUUGAAGUUUGGGUUCGAGUCAUGGACCUACCACCAGAUAAAUUCUUGGAAAAUUUUGGAAAGGCCCUUGGAAAUUUUCUUGGGGAGGUGAUCAAAGUAGAUGUGGAGAAAGAUGGUUUUGCAAGAGGAAAGCACCUCCGUGUUCAUGCAAGAUACCUUUAGAUGAGUUGCCAGUGAGGGAUUUAUUCUUAAGGUCUUCAUCGGAAGUCUAAAUUGGUAUUUUCUUUGAUUUAUCAUACAAGAAGAUUCCGCACUUCUGUUGAGAAUGUGGUCGGCUCGUUCAUUUAGAUGGUGUUUGUGAGCCACUGGUGAAAUCUAGCUCCCAAUGGGAGAAUGGUUGAGGGAUGCAUCUUUGGGCUUAAGGGUGGAUUCAAUAGGAUGGUGUCUAGCAACACCAACAAUUUUGGUAGCUCGAGGUCGAGUGAGACUAAGCAUGGGAGACACAUGUGUGCUACUAUCCGAGACCUUCCAACCAAGCAUAACCUACAUCGAGAGUUCAUGUCCUCUAGUACCUCUCGCACUGGCGGGGAGUAAAGGGUCGAAUAGGAGGAGGUCAGUAUCCUGAGUAAGUUCAAGCACAACCAGGGGAGAACAAAGAUACGGACUUGAGACAAUAUUUAGAGGAGAAAUGUGAAAGGGAGGUGAGGCAUGACCUGCACCAGCGACUUGCCCAGAGGAGCUUUGCAAAGUAAUAGUACAACAGCAAAGGGACCCCCGCCAAACACACACACGUUCUAGUUUGGAGGAUUUAGGGAGGAGAAGGAGAAGUACAUAUGUAUGCAGGUCGAGAUAGUUUCAUGGUGAACAACAACACAUGACCUCGGCUUAUAAAACUAAACCUGCAAAGAGAAAGAGAAUGCCUAAGCAGUUAUGGACCCAAAGGGAGAUUCAAAUAUGUAGAUUAUUCGUGAUGCGUUCAUUGGUGAUAAGAGGCAAAAAACGACUUUAUUAUUUGACCGUAUGCUUAACAAUAUUAAAAAAGAUUGGCAGACCUUGCCCGAUAGGGCAGCUGGGAGCAAUAAAUCUUCUAGCAUGGAACUGCCAGGGACUUGGGUUGGACUAGGCAGUUGGUGAAUUGUGUGACCUGAUUAGGUCUUACAAUCCAAUGAUGGCUUUCUUAAGCGAAACAAAAAAGUGCUUAGGUACAAUGGAGAAGGUUAAGUGUAGCACGGGUUUCAGGUAGGGUGUAGUUGUGGAUUGCGUGGGAUGGGGGGAGGAUUAGCACUCUGGUGGAGGGAUAACGUGCAAGUAUCAAUUAGGGCAUGGUGACAGUACUAUUUAGAUCCUUCUAUUUAUGUUGAGGGUAAAGCAUGUAGGUUCACUAGAAUCUACGGGGAGCCCUAUACUAAGUAGGGACAGAAAACAUGGGUAACGAUCCAUUACCUUAGGGAUCAACAUGACCUACCAUGGCUCUGUGCAGGAGACUUUAGUGAGGUUUUAUUUCAAUCAGAACAGCUAGGUGGGAACCCGAGAAGCUUUUGUGCAUAUGGAGGGAAUUAGGGAAUGCUUUUCCGACAAUGUCUUAGAAGACCUUGGAUUCUCAGGGUACCCGUAUAUGUGCGAUAACAAGAGAGAUGUGGAGGAGGACAUACAAGUCAGACUAGGCCGGGCCACAUGCAAUGAUGCCUUCAUGCAAAUGUUUCCGGAGACGUCGGUCGAGAAUGUUUCAAUGGAGGAACCGGAACAUGCAACACUAUUCAUUCGAGAUCCAGUGGCACCAGUCACUAGUAUUAAUACAGAGAGAAGGACUUUUAGGUUUGAAGAGAUGUAGACCCUACAUGACUAGUAUGACACCAUGGUGAAUGAAGCAUGCAUGUCAUCCGAGCAAUAGUGGUUUGAUAGGCCUGGAUGUAGUUUGCAAGAAAAUCAAUGUGGUCACAAGGGACAUGCGGGCUUGGAGUCCAGAGGUCUUUGGAUCAAUCAUGCGCCAAAUUGGGAAGCUCAAACAGUAGUUGUGUGGCGCAACGGAAAAGGCCACACAAACUGGUUACCUGUAGGAGGUAAGGGUGAUCGAACAAUAGCUCCAUGAUAUAUACAAGAGUGAGAGAGGAGGUGAUGUACAUGAAACACUGCCAGGGCAUCACAUAGGAAGAGGAAGAACACUGCUAGGGAUUUGUUGCGGGAGGAUGGGACCUGAUGCACCACCGACAAAGAGAUGAGGCACAUGGCUUCCAGCUUCUACAAGAAGUUGCCCACGUUGGAAGGGUCGAUGGAGUUCGGAGUGACUACUUCAAAAUUGAAGGAAUAGUCUUGGAAGAUAUGAAUGUGAUAUUGACAAGAGUCACCACAAAUGAAAAAUUGAGAGAGAAUUGUUCCAAAUGGGGCUGAAUAAAGCAGCCUCCAAAUGGCCUCCCACGAUGUUUUAUCAACGACACUAGCCAUUAAUAUGAGAGGAUGUUUGCAAUGUUGGGGAACGUAGUAUGCAAUUUCAAAAAAAAAUCCUACAGUCACGCAAGACCUAUCUGGGAGAUGCAUAGCAACAAGAGGGGGCGAGUGUGUCCAUGUACCCUCAUAGACCGAAAGCGGAAGCAUCAGCUAACGCAGUUGGUGUAGUCAAACGUCUUCACAAUCCGACCGAUCCAAGUACCGAACAUAUGGCACCUCCGUGUUCAGCACACGUUCAUCUCGAUGACGUCCCUCGAACUCUUGAUCCAGUAGAGGGUCGAGGGAGAGUUCUGUCAGCACGACGGUGUGGCGACGGUGUUGAUGAUGUGAUCCGCGCAGGGCUUUGCCUAAGCACUACAAUGCUAUGACCGGAGGUGUAAACUGUGGAGGGGGGCACCGCACACGGCAAAGAACAAUUGAUGUGUCUUUGGGGUGCCCCCAGCCCACAUAUAUAAAGGAGGAGAGGGAGGAGGCCGGCGGCCUAGAGGGGGCGCGCCUAGGGGGAGCCCAACUAGGAUUCCCAAUCCUAGUUGGUCUCCCUUUCCUAUUCCAAGAAGGGGAAGGAGGGAAGGAGAGUGAGAGAGAGAGAGGGAAAGAGGGGGCCGCACAAUUCGUACUCCCUUGGGGGGGCCACCCUGCGGGCUCCCCUCUCCUACUCCCUUAUGGCCCAUUAAGGCCCAUAACUUCGCCGGGGGGUUCCGGUAACCCCUCGGUUCCCCAAUAAAUAUCUGAAAUGUCCUGAAACCAUUCCGGUGUCCGAAUACCUUCAUCCAGUAUAUCAAUCUUUAUGUCUUGACCAUUUCAAUACUCCUAGUCAUGUCCGUGCUCUCAUCCAGGACUCCGAACAAACUUCGGUCAUCAAAAACAAAUAAAACUUAAUACAAAUCGUCAUCGAACAUUAAGCGUGCGGACCCUACGGGUUCGGGAAUUAUGUAGACAUAAUCAUCUUCGAUCAAUAACCAAUAGCAAAACCUAGAUGCUCAUAUUGGCUCCUACAUAUUCUACGAAGAUCUUUAUCGGUCAAACCGCACAACAACAUACGUUAUUCCCUUUGUCAUCGGUAUGUUACUUUCCCGAGAUUCGAUCGUUAGUAUCAUCAUAGUUCAAUCUCGUUGCCGGCAAGUCUCUUUACUCGUUCUGUAAUGCUUCAUCCUAUAACUAACUCAUUAGUCACAUUACUUUCAAGGCUUAUAGUGAUGAGCAUUAUCGAGAGGGCCCAGAGAUACCUCUCCGAUACACGGUGUGACAAAUCCUAUUCUUGAUCUAUGCCAACCCAACAAACACCUUCGGAGACACCUGUAGAGCAUCUUUAUAAUCACCCAGUUACGUUGUGACGUUUGAUAGAACACAAGGUGUUCCUCCGGUAUUCGGGAGUUGGAUAAUCUCAUAGUCAUAGGACCAUGUAUAAGUCAUGAAGAAAGCAGUAGCCAUAAAACUGUAACGAUCAUAAUGCUAAGCUAAUGGAUGGGUCUUGUCCAUCACAUCAUUCUCUAAUGAUGUGAUCCCGUUCAUCAAAUGACAACACAUGUCUAUGGUUAGGAAACAUAACCAUCUUUGAUUAACGAACUAGUCAAGUAGAGGCAUACUAGGGACAAUAUGUUUUAUCUAUGUAUUCACACAUGUACUAAGUUUUCGGUUAAUACAAUUCUAGCAUGAAUAAUAAACAUUUAUCAUGAUAUAAGCAAAUAUAAAUAACAACUUUAUUAUUGCCUCUAGGGCGUAUUUCCUUCAUGCAAGGUGGUCAAGGAUUUUCUUUCCGAAGUGGUGGAAGACAAUGCUUUUAUUGGCACAGUGAUUGUAAUGAUUACAAAAGUAAACUCACUGGAAUUCCUUUCCUAGUUUCCGUAAAUGCAUCUAGUGCCACCCCUAGUUGGUUUUGGAGUAUUGACGACAAACGUGGUUGAGGGACUAAUGUGUUUGUGAGAAUUGCACGAUAACAUAGGUAGUAGUCCCUCAUUGAUUCGGUUUACCUACUACAGAUGACCCCUAAAAAUGUGUGAAGACAUUGAAGACAAUGGUGGUUUGUGAAGACAUUCACGACGAAGAUUAUGACUUGUGAAGAUAUUCACUUGAAGACUAUGGAGUGCAACGACAUAGCUGUUUUGUAGUUUCCUUUAUUCUUUAUUGAGUCAAAGGAACCACCAUACUGUUAAGCGGGGUACAAGUGAACAAAGUUAGAGUGACUGAAGUGAUGCUCAACCAAAUCCUAUGUCUUCGAAUGAAGACAAUGAGAGCAAACCUUAUCCAGAGCUGGAUGGGUCAGCUUUGCUUGUUGCCCAAGCCAAGCUGCCGCGUGUGUUUGAAAUCUGACCGUUGGACACGUGUCAGUUCCUUAGUGACCCAGGGUCAUUUCGGACAUAUUAGGUCAGGUUGCCUCCUGGCUAUAAAUAGCCCACCUCCUACACCAUAAAUUGGUGGCUGCUAAGAGUUAGUGCACGGCUUUUGUCGUUUGAGAGCAACCCACCUCCGAAGCAUUUGAGACAGAGAUCCUCGCGAGGACAAAGCCCAAAACACCCAGAUCCAAAGAGUGUUAGGCAUCACUGAAGUCUUUCUAUCUACGUGAUCUGAAGACUUGUUACACUUGAGGACUAUGAAUCCUCCAGCCGGUUAGGCGUCACAUUCUGAGCAUCCAAGAGUCAUUGUGGAUUGCCGGUGAACGAAGUCUGUGAAGGUUUGGAAGUCUACCUCGAAGACUUACCAAAGUGAUUGGGUGAGGACUGGGUGUCCUUAGCUCAAGGAGAAUAAGGUGAAGACACAGUCUUCUGAGUUCAAUCUCAGCCUCCCUAACCAGACGUACAGUUGUCACAGCAACUGGAACUGGUCUACCAAAUCCUUGUCUUCACCAAGCAACUAGUUCUAUCCCCUACUCUCCUUACUUUACAGUUUGUCUUCCUGAAGUCAUUGCUUGCCUGCCUGAUUCAUUUGACUUCAUUGUGUGAAGACUUAUAUCUGUUUAGCUACGUACUAUCUUCCAUACUAAUCAUGUCUACCUAGUUGUAGUUAGUCUUCGUGCUUUAACUGUAUUGUAUGCUUGACUAAUGCUUGCCUAGUGUAGUCUUCAUUCCGCUUCUUACUAUAUAGGCUUAUUUUACUUGUUUGUCUUCAAAGCCACCGUGUUUUGAAGACUUUCAUUAAAAUCGCCUAUUCACCCCCCCCCCUCUAGUCAAUAACUAGCACUUUCAAUUGGUAUUAGAGCAAGGUACUCCCUUGUUCUGUGUGAUUCGGUUUAACCACCUAGAGUUUUAGCUAUGUCGACUGCAGGGAUAAUCAAGGUCUCCGUUGCGUGCCCCGUCUUUGAUGGCACUGACUACCCCUAUUGGAAGAACAAGAUGCGCAUGCAUCUUGAAGCCAUUGAUGUUGAUCUCUGGUAUGUCAUCAAGACUGGCAUUCUGAUACAUCUCCAACGUAUCUAUAAUUUUUUAUUGUUCCAUGCUAUUAUAUUAUCUGUUUUGGAUGUUUAAUGGGCUUUAUUAUACACUUUUAUGCUAUUUUUGGGACUAACCUAUUAACCGGAGGCCCAGUCCAAAUUGUUUUUUUUGCCUAUUUCAGUGUUUUGCAGAAAAGGAAUAUCAAACAGAGUCCAAAUGGAAUGAAACCUUCGGGAGAGUCGUUUUUGGAACAAGCACAAUCCAGGAGACUUGGAGUGGACGUCAAGGAAGCAAUAAGGCCGCCACGAGGCAGGGAGGCGCGCCCCCCACCCUCAUGGGCCCCUCGUGGCUCCCCUGACCGACUUCUUUCUCCUAUGUAUAUACUCAUAUACCCUGAAAACAUCCGAGAGCACCACAAAACCCUAUUUCCACCGCCGCAACCUUCUGUACCCAUGAGAUCCCAUCUUGGGGCCUUUUUUGGCGCUCCGCCGGAGGGGGAAUCGAUCACGGAGGGCUUCUACAUCAACACCACAGCCUCUCCGAUGAUGUGUGAGUAGUUUACCUCAGACCUUCGGGUCCAUAGUUAUUAGCUAGAUGGCUUCUUCUCUCUCUUUGGAUCUCAAUACAAAGUUCUCCUCGAUCUUCUUGGAGAUCUAUUCGAUGUAAUUCUUUCUACGGUGUGUUUGUCGAGAUUCGAUGAAUUGUGGGUUUAUGAUCAAGAUUAUCUAUGAACAAUAUUUGAAUCUCCUCUGGAUUCUUUUAUGUAUGAUUUGCUAUCUUUGCAAGUCUCUUCGAAUUAUCAGUUUGGUUUGGCCUACUAGAUUGAUCUUUCUUGAAAUGGGAGAAGUGCUUAGCUUUGGGUUCAAUCUUGCGGUGUCCUUUCCCAGUGACAGCAGGGGCAGCAAGGCACGUAUUGUAUUGUUGCCAUCGAGGAUAAAAAUAUGGGGUUUAUAUCAUAUUGCUUGAGUUUAUCCCUCUACAUCAUGUCAUCUUGCCUAAUGCGUUACUCUGCUCUUAUGAACUUAAUACUCUAGAUGCAUGCUGGAUAGCGGUCGAUGUGUGGAGUAAUAGUAGUAGAUGCAGAAUCGUUUCGAUCUACUUGUCGCGGACGUGAUGCCUAUAUAAAUGAUCAUGCCUAGAUAUUCUCAUAACUAUGCACUUUUCUAUCAAUUGCUCGACAGUAAUUUGUUCACCCACCAUACUACUUAUGCUAUCUUGAGAGAAGCCACUAGUGAAACCUAUGGCCCCUGGGUCUAUUUUCCAUCAUAUAAGUUUCUGAUCUAUUUUAUUUUGCAAUCUUUACUUUCCAGUCUAUAUCAUAAAAAUACCAAAAAUAUUUAUCUUAUUAUCUCUAUCAGAUCUCACUUUUGCAAGUGGCCGUGAAGGGAUUGACAACCCAUUUAUCGCGUUGGUUCCAAGGUUCUUAUUUGUUUGUGCAGGUACGAGGGAUUUGAGUGUAGCCUCCUACUGGAUUGAUACCUUGGUUCUCAAAAACUGAGGGAAAUACUUACGCUACUUUGCUGCAUCACCCUUUCCUCUUCAAGGGAAAACCAACACAUGCUCAAGAGGUAGCAUGUUCCCAAAGUCAGUGAAGGCGUCACCGCUGCUGAUGUCAAGGGAUUUGCGCAAUUGGACUCAACCGCCAAGAACACCAUCUGUGGUCAUCUGACCAAAGGCAGUAUGGUCGUGUGAGUGCACUGGAAACUGCAAAGCUGGUCUGGGACUGGCUGUCCAAGGUCAAUGAAGGCGUCUCAACUCAGAUAGAUUCAAGAAUCGAUGUUCUUCGCAAUCUCUUCAACCACUUGAAGAGAAAUGACAAUGAAAAUGUCCAGCUCACGUUCAAUCGCUUGACUGAUAUCACCAAUGAGCUUCGUGCUCUCGACGCCACUGAAAUCACCAAGCAUGAGAUCGUGAAGAAGCUUCUGAGAUCACUUGAUAGCUCGUUUGACACCUUAGCCCUGAUGAUACAAGAACGUCCCGACUUCAAAGAUCUCGAUCCGUCUGACAUACUUGAGAGGCUCAACACACAUGAGUUCCAGCUAUCUGAGAAGCGUGACAUCUAUGGUCCUAACUAUGGCCGAACUCGUGCCCUGAAGGCAAAAGUUGUUUCCUCACCUGAAGAAGAAUUUGAAUGUAGCUCUAGUGAUCCUGAAGAUCUUGGCAAAGAUCUUUCAAUGCUUGUGAGGAAGUUCCAGAAGUUCUCCAAGAAGAAUCGGUUCAGCAAGUCUUCAAGAUCUAGCUCAAAGAACGACGAAGCUUCAUCACGUGAAUACAAGAAUAGAACUUGCCACAAAUGCAAGAAGAUAUGCCACUACAUCUUUGAGUGUCCUCGGUGGGAUAAGGAAUCGAACAAGAAGAAGAAGAGCAAGGAAUAUGAUUCUCAUGACAAGAAGAAGAAGAAAUCAUCAAAAUCGUCUUCAAAGUCUUCGUCAAAGUCUUCAUCUCACAAGAAGACCUCAUCAAGCAAGGCUCGUGCAUUUAUUGGCAACGAGAUGGAUUCAGAGGAGGAGUCUGCCUUUGAGGAGGCAGAGGUGGAGUCCCAGGAGGAGUCUGAUUCAGGCGUGGCAAGCCUGGCUCUGGCGUCAGCGUUUGUCGCUAAGUCAAUCUUCAACACUGAAGACAAUGGUCACAACGUUCAAGCCAAAGUUGACGAUGAUGAUGAUGACGACUCUGCUCCAACCUACUACUUCAUGGCACGUGGUGCCAAGGGAAAGGCCUCCAGCCAGAAAGCAAAAUCUUCUGACGACAAUGCUGGAGACCUAAAACAUCUUGUGGGACGCAAGAUAAAAUGCUCCAAUGGUCUUAUCAUGUAUUUCGUCCAAGGGUUCCUUGAUGAGCAUCCUAUCAUGCCUAAUCAGAAUUUAAACUUUGAUAAUAUGCUUGUUCACUACAUGUUUCUGCUUCACAAUACUCUUGGUGAAGCCUAUCCCGCUAACUGCACUGUAGGGUACAACUCCGAAAGCCACUGAAUGGAUCAUGGACAGCGGCUGCACCAACCACAUGACUGGUGAUCGAAGUCUUCUUAUGGAUUCAACCCUGCGUCCAUCUACUAAGAGCCACAUCAUAUUUGCUGACACUGGUAAAAGCAAGGUAUUGGGUCUUGGUAGAGUUGCUAUCUCAAAGGAUCAACACAUGGAUGAAGUGAUGCUUGUUGAAUCCCUUGGAUACAUCUUAAUGUCUGUGUCAAUGCUCUGUGAUCUGAACAUGAUUGUGAUAUUUGGAAAAUAUCAUUGUCUUGUGCUAAUGGAAUCUGACAAAUCUCAAAGAGGUGAUUUGUAUAUGGUAGAUUUCUCAGUAGGACCACAGCUUGUCGUAUGUCUUCUAGCAAAGGCUUCAGAAUGCUGGCUAUAGCAUCGACGGCUAGGACAUGCGGGCAUGAGGAACCUAUACACUCUCGCGAAGAAGAAGCACAUCAUUGCCAUCGAGGGCGUCAAGUUCAAGAAGGAUCAUCUAUGUGGUGCAUGUGAAGCUAGAAAGAUGACUAGAGCCAAGCAUCCCUCGAAGACAAUCAUGACUACCUCACGUCCCUUCGAGCUGCUUCACAUGGACCUAUUUGGCCCUACUCACUACUCUACACUUACUACUACUUCACAUCUCUAUGGCUUCGUUAUUUUGAUGAUUACUCGAGAUACACCUAGGUACACAUAAUUCUCUAUAAGAUUGAAGUGCAGGAUGUCUUCAGACGCUUCGCAAAUUGCGCUACGACGAAUUAUGGCAUCAAGAUCAAGCACAUCCAGAGUGACAAUGGCACUGAGUUCAAGAACGUUGGCCUCGACACUUAUUUUGAUACUUUGGGCAUCACACAUGAGUUCUCUGCUCCUUACACACCUCAGUAGAAUGGCGUCGUGGAGCGCAAGAACAGAACGCUCAUUGAGAUGGCACGGACGAUGCUCGAUGAAUACAAGACUCCAAGAAAAUUCUGGCCCGAAGCCAAUGACACUGCAUGCCACAUCAUCAAUAGAGUAUAUCUUCACAAGUUCUUCAAGAAAACAUCUUCUGAACUUCUGACUGGUAAGAAGAAAAAUGUCAGUUACUUCAAAGUCUUUGGUGCUAGGUGCUGGAUCAAGGAUCCACAUCACACGUCUAAAUUCGCAUCGAAAGCACAUGAAGGUUUUAUGCUUGGUUACGGAAAGGACUCGCACACCUACGGAGUCUUCAAUCUCUUUCACUACAAAGUGGUUCAAACUGUAGAUGUGUGGUUCGAUGAAACUAAUAGCUUGAGAGAGCACCUGCCAAAUGUGCUAGAUGAAGCUACACGAGGUGAAGCUAUCAAGCUAAUGGGUAUUGGAGAAAUCAUACCACCGAGGAACAGGUUGAGGAUGAGAUCAUCAUUUCUGCACCAAAUCAACAUGAAGACAAUGGUCAGUCUGAAGCCAAUGCUGAAGACGAAUACAAUAGUCAGUCUGAUCAAAAUCUUCGUCCUGCUCAUCCUCGAGUCGCCAAUGAAGUCCAGAUUGAGAAGAUAAUUGAUAGCAUUAAUGCUCCUGGUCCUCUCACUCAAUCAAGAGCUACACAACUAGCAAACUUCUGCGGUCACUUUGCUUUUGUCUCUAUAUAUGAACCCAAGAAAGUCAAAGAAGCCUUCAUGGAACCUGAAUGGAUUCAAGCUAUGCAAGAAGAGCUUCAACAGUUUGAGCUGAAUAAUGUCUGGGAGCUUGUCAAACGUCCUGAUCCUCACAAGCACAACAUCAUUUGCACGAAAUGGAUCUAUAGCAACAAACAAGAUGAACUUGGUCAAGUUGUCAGAAACAAGGCUCUCCUUGUAGCUCAAGGUUACACACAAGUGGAAGGAAUUGACUUCGAUGAAACCUUUGCUCCCAUGGCUAGGCUUGAAGCCAUUCGAAUAUUGUUGGCCUAUGCUAACCAUCACAACGUUAUUCUGUACCAAAUGGAUGUGAAGAGUGCCUUUCUCAACGGCAAAAUCGAAGAAAAAGUGUAUGUCGCUCAACCGCCUGGUUUCGAAGAUCCUAAGCAUCCUAAUAUGGUGUACAAUCUCAACAAGGCACUAUAUGGCCUCAAACAAGCACCUUGCGCUUGGUAUGACACACUCAAAGAAUUCCUAAAGAGCAAAGGCUUCAAACCUAGUUCUCUAGAUCCCACUCUCUUCACGAAGACAUAUGAUGGUGAACUGUUUGUGUGUCAAAUAUAUGUGUAUGACAUUAUCUUCGAAUGCAUCGAUAAGAGAUAUAGUGAUGAGUUUGGAUACAUGAUGCAAGAGCAAUAUCAGAUGUCCAUGAUGGGAGAGCUAAAGUUCUUCCUUGGUCUUCAAAUCCGUCAACAGCACAAUGGCAUCUUUAUAUCACAAGAAAAAUACCUUAAAUAUUUCCUGAAAAAGUUUGGAAUGCAAGACUACAAAGGGUACACGACGCCAAUGCCAACCAAAAGUCAUCUUGGCCCUGAUCGACAAUGGUAAAGAGUUUGAUCAAAAGGUAUACCGCUUCAUGAUUGGUUCUUUGCUAUACUUAUGUGCAUCUAGGCCUGAUAUUAUGCUUUGCAUUUGCAUGUGUGCCCGAUUCCAAGCAGCACCAAAGGAAUCGCAUCACCUUGUUGUGAAGCGAAUUCUUCGAUAUCUGGAUCACACCCCGACACUAGGAUUAUGGUAUGCAAAGGGCUCAUCGUUUGAUCUAGUUGGAUACUCUGAUGUUGAUUAUGCUGGUGACAAGGUUGAUCGCAAGUCUACAUCAGGCACAUGUCACUUUCUUGGACGAUCUCUUGUUUGUUGGUCUUCAAAGAAGCAGAACUGUGUAUCCCUCUCCGCCACUGAAUCUGAAUACAUUGCUGCUAGAUCUUGCUAUGCUCAGCUUCUCUGGAUGAAGCAAACUCUCAGGGACUACGGCAUCAACACAAAGAAUGUGCCACUCUUCUGCGACAAUGAAAGCACCAUCAAGAUUGCCAAGAAUCCAGUUCAGCACUCAAAGACAAAGCACAUUGAGAUUUGUUAUCACUUUCUCAGAGAUCAUAUCAAAAAGGAAGACAUUGAUAUCAUUCACGUCAACACUGAAGAGCAACUGGCAUACAUCUUCACUAAGCCCUUGGAUGAGAAGAGGUUUUGCAAGCUGCGGUGUGAGAUAAAUAUCUUAGAAUCCUCAAAUGUCCAGUGAAUGGACACACAUCCUAACACUUAUGCAUGUUGAUGACUUAGAUGUGCAACACACAAAGUAAUGUAUUUCUUCAAUCAAUGAAGACUUACCCUCUGAGUGUGAAUACAUUAAUGUGGGAUUUGACUUCGGAGCGCCACGAUAAUCUUGCGCCGUGUCUGGGUCUAAUACUUCCUAUACGGUGGGUAACACCACCACCACACCUUCUUGAAGAUUUUCAUUUGGCAUCACGAUUGCAUUAUCUUCACAUUUGGAUUGUCUUCAACAUUGAUUUAUCUUCAAAAUCUAUAUCUUCGCAAUGUUGAUUUAUCUUCAAUACUAUAUAUGUGUGUGUUUUGUCCUCUACAACAUUCACUUAUAGCUAUGUCUUCACAUUGCUAUUUUUCUGACCUAAGUGAAUGUGAUCGGACCCUAAUCCCUUCUGUGCUACUCCCUCAAAUUUUGUGUGUCUAAGUCAUAUGCAUUCUGUUGACACUUGUCGAAUAUCUUCUUUGUGUCCUGAUACGUCUCCAACGUAUCUAUAAUUUUUGAUUGCUCCAUGCUACUUUAUCUACUGUUUUAGGCAAUAUUGGGCUUUACUAUCCACUUUUAUAUUAUUUUUGGGACUAACCUGUUAACCGGAGGCCCAGCCCAGAUUUGCUGUUUUAUGCCUAUUUCAGUGUUUCGAGGAAAAGGAAUAUCAGACGGAGUCAAAAUGGAACGAAAUCAACUGGAGAAGUUAAUUUUGGAAGGAAACCAAUCCGUUGGGCUUGGAGUGCACGUCAGGGGAUUCCCGGGCUGCCCACGAGGGUGGGGGCACGCCCCUCCCCCUGGGCGCGCCCCCCUACCUCGUGAGCCCCCCGGAGGUCCACCGACGUACCCCCUGCACCCAUAUAUACCUACGUACCCUAAAACUUCUAGAACAGAAGAUAGAUCGGGAGUUCCGCCGCCGCAAGUCUCUGUAGCCACCAAAAACCUCUCGGGAGCCCUUUCUGGCGCCCUGCCGUGGGGAUCCCAUCACCGGUGGCCAUCUUCAUCAUCCCGGCGCUAUCCAUGACGAGGAGGGAGUAGUUCACCCUCUGGGCUGAGGGUAUGUACCAGUAGCUAUGUGUUUGAUCUCUCUCUCUCGUGUUCUUGAGGUGAUACGAUCUUGAUGUAUCCCGAGCUUUGCUAUUGUAGUUGGAUCUUAUGAUGUUUCUCCCCCUCUACUCUCUUGUGAUGAAUUGAGUUUCCCUUUGAAGUUAUCUUAUCGGAUUGAGUCUUUUAUGAACACUUGAUGUAUGUCUUGCGUGGGAUAACCGUGGUGACAAUGGGUUAUUCUAUUGAUCCACUUGAUGUAUGUUUUGGUGAUCAACUUGCGGGUUUCGUGACACUUGGGAACCUAUGCAUAGGGGUUGGCACACGUUCUUGACUCUCCGGUAGUAGCUUUGGGGCACUUUUUGAAGUGCUUUUAUGUUGGUUGGAUGAAUCUAAGAUUGUGUGAUGCAUAUCGUAUAAUCAUGCCCACGGAUACUUGAGGUGACAAUGGAGUAUCUUGGUGACAUUAGGGUUUUGGUUGAUUUGUAUCUUAAGGUGUUAUUCUAGUACGAACUCUUUUAUAGAUCGAUCCGAAAGAAUAGCUUUGUGGUGGUUUCGUACCCGACCAUAAUCUCUACGUUUGUUCUCCGCUAUUAGUGGCGUUGGAGUGACUCUUUGUUGCAUGUUGAGGGCUUGUCAUAUGUUCUAUCUAUGUUAUUAUUGUUGAGAGAACUUACACUAGUGAAAGUAUGAACCCUAGGCCUUGUUUCCUAUCAUUGCAAUACCGUUUACGCUCACUUUUACCGCUUGUUACCUUGCUAUUUUUAUUAUUUCAGAUUACAGAAACCUAUAUCUACUAUCUAUUUUGCACUUGUAUCACCAUCUCUUCGCCGAACUAGUGCACCUAUACAAUUUACCAUUGUAUUGGGUGUGUUGGGGACACAAGAGACUCUUUGUUAUUUGGUUGCAGGGUUGCUUGAGAGAGACCAUCUUCAUCCUACGCCUCCUAUGGAUUGAUAAACCUUAGGUCAUCCACUUGAGGGAAAUUUGCUACUGUCCUACAAACCUGUGCACUUGCAGGCCCAACAACGUCUACAAGAAGAAGGUUGUGUAGUAGACAUCAAACUCUUUUCUGGCGCCGUUGCCGGGGAGGCUAGGUAAAGGGUACUCACACUCCGUCACUAAGCUCUUUUCUGGCGAGGUGAGUGCUUGAAGGUAUAUCUUUAGAUCUUGCAAUCGAAUCUUUUUGUUUCUUGUUUUAUCACUAGUCUAGUUUAUAAAAGAAAAUUAUAAAAAUAAUAAUAAAUGGAAUUGAGUUUGUCUCAUACGCUUCACCUUUUAAUAUCUUUCAUGAGUAUGAUGGAAAAGAAAAUUGUGCUCAAGUGCUAGAAGAAGAAUUACAUAGAAUUCUUGGCAUGAAAUAUGUGAAUGAUGAGCAUGAUUGCAAUGUUGUUAGUACGAAUUCCUUGAAUAUCCAUGAUGCUAAUGAUAUGCAAAGCCACAAGCUUGGGGAAGCUAUGUUUGAUGAAGAUGAUAUUUUUUGUCCCCCAAGUUUUGAUGAGCAAAUUUACUAUGAUGAAAGCAUGCCUCCUAUCUAUGAUGAUUAUUGUGAUGAUACGUAUGCCAUAAAGAAGAAUUUUGCUUAUGUGGAGAGUAGUAAAUUUUCUAUGCUUGUAGGUCAUGAAAAGAAUGCUUUAGGUGCUGGUUAUCUUGUUGAAUUCAUUCAUGAUGCUACUGAAAAUUAUUAUGAGGGAGGAACAUAUACUUGUAGGAAUUGCAAUAAUGCCAAAUUUCCUCUCUAUGCGCUUAAAUUUUUGAAGUUAUGCUUGUUUAGCCUUCCUAUGCUUGUUGAUUAUUGUUCCCAUAAGUUGUUUGCUCACAAAAUCCCUAUGCAUAGGAAGUGGGUUAGACUUAAAUGUGCUAGUCAUAUGCUUCAUGAUGCUCCCGUUAUGUUUCAAUUCUUAUCUUUUAUGUGAGCAUCAUUGUCAUCAUCAUGCCUAGCUAGAAAGGCAUUAAAGAAAAACGCUUGUUGGGAGACAACCCAAUAUGUAUCCCUACUGUUUUUGUGUGUAAACAUGAUUAUGCUACUGUAGUAAUCAUGUUUUAUAGCUUUUGUUUCAAUAAAGUGCCAAGUAGAACCUUUGGGAAGACUUGGGUGAAGUUUAUGUGAUCUUGCUGUGAAAAACAGAAACUUUAGCGCUCACGAGAAUAGCUGCCAUUUUUUAAUGGGGAGUGCUUUUAGGUUGAUUCUUUUUGCAGAUGAUUAAUAGACAAAUUUCUCAGGUCCAGAAAUUUAUUUCAUAAUUUGUGGGGUUCCAGAAGUAUACGUUUUAUAUAUAUUACUACAGACUGUUCUGUUUUUGACAGAUUCUGUUUUCUAUGUGUUGUUUGCUUAUUUUGAUGAAUCUAUGAGUAGUAUCGGAGGGUAUGAACCAUAGAUAAGUUGGAGUACAGUAGAUAUUACACCAAUAUGAAUUUAUAAUGAGUUCAUUAUAGUACCUAAGUGGUGGUUUUAUUUUCUUAUACUAACGGAGCUUACGAGUUUUGUUUUGAGUUUUGUGUGGUUGAAGUUUUCAAGUUUUGGGUAAGGAUUCGAUGGACUAUGGAAUAAGGAGUGGCAAGAGCCUAAGCUUGGGGAUGCCCAUGGCACCCCAAGGUAAUAUUCAAGGACAACCAAGCAACUAAGCUUGGGGAUGCCCCGGAUGGCAUCCCCUCUUUCGUCUUCGUUCAUCGGUAACUUUACUUGGAGCUAUAUUUUUAUUCACCACAUGAUAUGUGUUUUGCUUGGAGCGUCAUUUUAUUUUGUUAGUAUUUGCUUGCUGUCAGUUAGAAUUGUGUUUUGCCUCUUUAGUUUCAAUAAAAAAAGUCAAGGAUAGACUUUGCCAUGCUUAUUUUGCUAGUUUGCAUGUUGCUGUUUGAAAACAGAAAGUUUACCGCUGUUGCAAAAAUUCCCUAGAAAAGUCAGAGCAUGGUCUAAUGUUGAAUCUUUUUUCAUAUUGAGCUAUGAUAAAUUUAUUACAGCGGGAAUUUUAGUUCAUAAUUUUUGGAGUCAGGGAAGUAUUGAUACUCUUGCAUUCUUUACAGACUGUACUGUUUUGACAGAUUGCUGUUAUGGUUGCAUUGUUUGCAUAUGUUUGUUUGUUUAAUGAUUCUAUUUGAGGAUAGGAGUAUUAAAUAUACAGAGGCAUUUAGUAUGCAAUGUUGAAUAAUAAUUUUAGUGAUUUGUUACAAUAUAAAAUGAUAAGGUUUUGCAUUGGUUUAUACUAACCUAUCUCACGAGUUCUUGUUGAGUUUGUUGUGAAUGAAGCUUUUGAUAAAAAGAGAAACCAUGAUAUGAGAGGAAUUAAGGAGACACAAAAGUUCAAGCUUGGGGAUGACCAAGGCACCCCAAGAUAAUAUUUCAAGAAGUCUCAAGCAUCUAAGCUUGGGGAUGCCCCGGUAGGCAUCCCACCUUUCUUCUUCAACAACUAUCGGUUAGUAUCGGUUGAGCCUAAGUUUUUGCUUCUUCACAUGAGUUGUGCUAUCCUUGCAAUGUAGUUUUCUUUAGCUUUGCUUGCUGUUUGAAUGAAGUAUCAAGAUCUAAAAUUAUUAAAUGAGAGAGAGUCUUCGCAUAGUUGCAAAAUUAUUUAGCUACUCAUUGAUCUUCACUUAUAUCUUUCGGGGUAGUUUUUGUUAUUGCUCUAGUGUUUCACUUAGAUCUUUUAGAGCAUGGUGGUGGCUUUGUUUUAAAGAAACUAUUGAUCUCUCAUGCUUCACUUAGAUUAUUUUGAGAGUCGUUAAUAGCAUGGUAAUUUUCUUAAUGUUAAUAUACUUGGUGUUCAAGAUAUGUGAAACUUUCUUUUGAGUGCGUUGAAUACUAAGAAAAGUUUGAUGCUUGAUAAUUGUUUUGAGAUAUGGAGGUGAUAAUAUCAAAGUCGUGCUAGUUGGGUGAUUAUGAAUUUGAAGAAUGCUUGUGUUGAAGUUUGCAAGUCCCGUAGCAUGCACGUAUGGUUAAAGUUGUGUAACAAAUUUGAAACAUGAAGUGUACCUGGCUUGUGCAUCCUUAUGAGUGGCGGUCGGGGAUGAGCGAUGGUCUUUUCCUACCAAUCUAUCCCCCUAGGAGCAUGCACGUAGUACUUGAUUUUUGAUGGCUUCUAAAUUCUUGCAAUAAGUAUAUGAGUUCUUUUGACUAAUGUUGAGUCCAUGGAUUAUACGCACUCUCACCUUUCCGCCUUUGCGAGCCUCUUUGGUACUGUGCUUCGCCCUCUCUCACCUUGAGAGUUGGUGCAAACUUCACCGGUGCAUCCAAACCCCGUGAUACGAUACGCUCUAUCACACAUAAAACUCCUUAUAUCUUCCUCAAAACAGCCACCAUACCUACCUAUCAUGGCAUUUCCAUAGCCAUUCCGAGAUAUAUUGCCAUGCAACUUUCCACCGUUCCGUUCAUCAUCAUCAUGACAUGCAUUACUUUUGUCAUAUUGCCAUUGCAUGAUCCUGUAGUUGACAUCGUAUUUGUGGCAAAGCCACCAUGCAUUAUUUUUCAUACAUGUCACUCUUGAUUCAUUGCACCAUCCCGGUACACCGCCGGAGGCAUUCAUAUAGAGUCAUAUCUUGUUCUAGUAUCGAGUUGUAAUUCAUAUGUUGUAAUGAAAGUGUGAUGAUCAUCAUUAGAGCAUUGCCCAAAUAAAAAAAGAAAGGCCAAAAAAAAGAAAGGCCCAAAAAAAGAGAAAGGCCAAAAAAAAGGGAAGGCCCAAAAAAAAGAAAAAGAAAAUAAAUAAAAAGGGCAAUGCUACUUUUUUUCCACACUUGUGCUUCAAAGUAGUACCUUGUUCUUCAUAUAGUGAGUCUCAUAUAUUGUGCUUCAAAGUAGCACCAUGUUUUUCAUAUAGUGAGUCUCAUAAGUUGUCUUGUUCAUACUAGUGGGAAUUUUUCAUUAUAGAACUUGGCUUGUAUAUUCCUACAAUGGGCUUCCUCAAAUGCCCUAGGUCUUCAUGAGCAAGCGAGUUGGAUGCACACCCACUAGUUUUCUUUUGUUGAGCAUUCAUAGCUCUAGUGCAUCCGUUGCAUGGUAAUCCCUACUCCUCAUGUUGACAUUAAUUGAUGGGCAUAUCCAUAGCCCGUUGAUUAGCCUCGUCAAUGUGAGACUUUCUCCUUUUUUUGUCUUCUCCACACAAUCCCCAUCAUCAUAUUCUAUUCCACCCAUAGUGCUAUAUCCAUGGCUCACGCUCAUGUAUUGCGUGAAGGUUGAAAAAGUUUGAGAUUAUUUAAGUAUGAAACAAUUGCUUGGCUUGUCAUCGGGGGUAUAGAAGUUGGGAACAUCUUUGUGUGACGAAAAUGAAGCAUAGCCUAACUAUAUGAUUUUGUAGGGAUGAACUUUCUUUUGCCAUAUUAUUUUGAGAAGACAUGAUUGCUUUGAUUAGUAUGCUUGAAGUAUUAUUAUUUUUGUGUCAAUAUGAACUUUUGUCUUGAAUCUUUCGGAUCUGAAUAUUCUUAUCACAAUUAAGAAGAUUUACAUUGAAAUUAUGCCAAAGUAUCACUCCGCAUCAAAAAUUCUUUUUUAUCAUUUACCUACUCGAGGACGAGCAGGAAUUAAGCUUGGGGAUGCUUGAUACGUCUCCAAUGUAUCUAUAAUUUUUGAUUGCUCCAUGCUACUUUAUCUACUGCUUUAGGCAAUAUUGGGCUUUAUUAUCUACUUUUAUAUUAUUUUUGGGACUAACCUAUUAACCGGAGGCCCAGCCCAGAUUUGCUGUUUUAUGCCUAUUUCAGUGUUUCGAGGAAAAGGAAUAUCAGACGGAGUCAAAACGGAACGAAAUCAACUGGAGAAGUUAAUUUUGGAAGGAAACCAAUCUGUUGGGCUUGGAGUGCACGUCAGGGGAUUCCCGAGCUGCCCACGAGGGUGGGGGGCGCGCCCCUCCCCCCUGGGCGUGCCCCCCUACCUCGUGAGCCCCCCGGAGGUCCACCGACGUACCCCCUGCACCCAUAUAUACCUACGUACCCUAAAACUUCCAGAAUAGAAGAUAGAUUGGGAGUUCCGCCACCGCAAGUCUCUGUAGCCACCAAAAACCUCUCGGGAGCCCUUUCCGGCGCCCUGCCGGGGGGGAUCCCAUCACCGGUGGCCAUCUUCAUCAUCCCGGCGCUAUCCAUGACGAGGAGGGAGUAGUUCACCCUCGGGGCUGAGGGUAUGUACCAGUAGCUAUGUGUUUGAUCUCUCUCUCUCGUGUUCUUGAGGUGAUACGAUCUUGAUGUAUCCCGAGCUUUGCUAUUGUAGUUGGAUCUUAUGAUGUUUCUCCCCCUCUACUCUCUUGUGAUAAAUUGAGUUUCCCCUUUGAAGUUAUCUUAUCGGAUUGAGUCUUUUAUGAACACUUGAUGUAUGUCUUGCGUGGGAUAACCGUGGUGACAAUGGGUUAUUCUAUUGAUCCACUUGAUGUAUGUUUUGGUGAUCAACUUGCAGGUUUCAUGACACUUGGGAACCUAUGCAUAGGGGUUGGCACACGUUUUUGACUCUCCGGUAGUAGCUUUGGGGCACUUUUUGAAGUGCUUUUAUGUUGGUUGGAUGAAUCUGAGAUUGUGUGAUGCAUAUCGUAUAAUCAUGCCCACGGAUACUUGAGGUGACAAUGGAGUAUCUAGGUGACAUUAGGGUUUUGGUUGAUUUGUGUCUUAAGGUGUUAUUAUAGUACGAACUCUUUUAUAGAUCGAUCCGAAAGAAUAGAUUUGUGGUGGUUUCGUACCCGACCAUAAUCUCUACGUUUGUUCUCCGCUAUUAGUGGCUUUGGAGUGACUCUUUGUUGCAUGUUGAGGGCUUGUCAUAUGUUUUAUCUAUGUUAUUAUUGUUGAGAGAACUUACACUAGUGAAAGUAUGAACCCUAGGCCUUGUUUCCUAUCAUUGCAAUACCGUUUACGCUCACUUUUACCGCUUGUUACCUUGCUGUUUUUAUUAUUUCAGAUUACAAAAACCUAUAUCUACUAUCUAUUUUGCACUUGUAUCACCAUCUCUUCGCCGAACUAGUGCACCUAUACAAUUUACCACUGUAUUGGGUGUGUUGGGGACACAAGAGACUCUUUGUUAUUUGGUUGCAGGGUUGCUUGAGAGAGACCAUCUUCAUCCUACGCCUCCUACGGAUUGAUAAACCUUAGGUCAUCCACUUGAGGGAAAUUUGCUACUGUCCUACAAACCUGUGCACUUGCAGGCCCAACAACGUCUACAAGAAGAAGGUUGUGCAGUAGACAUCAUGUCCUUGUCAGCGGAAGAUACAAAGACACACUUCUAAAACUGCUUUUAAUGUCUUAUCUCUUGCCUGAACACUGGAGAAGCCGGAACGACCACCCGACAAUCCAGGCGUGCGUGGAAACAUGAUUCAACUCCUGAUAAGUUGCAUGCAUGCCACGUGUCGUUUAGAUGUGAACCGCCAGGGGCACGUGCGUAAUUACACUGCGUCGCCCUCCUCCUUAUAAAUACUAGCCCCCUUGCGGUCAAUAUCUCCUCUUCCACCUCUCCACCUUGCUCAAACCCUAGCGCCACCGCUAGCUAGCUUGUGUCGACGCUGAAGAUGAAGCGCUUAGCUGCAGCGACCUCUUCGAUGUCGUCCUCACGCCAGCCGCGGACCUCGUCUUCUUCGCUGCUGCCAUAGGUGUCUUCCGCCGCCAAGUUAGGGCGCGGGAGAUUGGACUGCUCGGCCUCCCAUCUACCUCGUCUAGCAGUUCGUCUAUGGUAAAUAAAUCUCAGUUCUUACAGUCUUUUUGAUCUAUCAAAUCCAUCCACUUCAACCAAAAGUGGUUUCUGCACUUCCAAAUCUAGAUCUGUCUCUUUCUACAUAUCAUGUAUUGCAAAGUAUGUUCACUUAUGCUUCAUAACUAGUUAGAUUCCUCACUUGUACCUAUUCUUGGAUUCAUACAAAUCUGAAACCAACUUCCUUCAAUAAGUGAAUGUCUUCGCACUGUGAGGUCAAUGUCUUCUAACUGAUUUAUCUUCAAAAUCUUCUGAGAAUGCAUAUGACCUCUUCCCCUUCCCUCGCAUCUCUAAUGCUGUCACAGGUCCAUGUUCGUGGGAGAAUCCUUUAGUUAUCAUAGUCUGCAUUCAUUUGCAGAAUUCUUACAUCGUCACAUUGAAUCUCCUGAAGCCAGCUCUUGUUUGACAAGCAGACGGAAGCCUUUCACUGUAUUGAAGCCUAUCUGUCUGAAUAUUAUGGCUUCUGAAAAAUCUGCAUGAAAAGGUGGCAGGCAACGCCGAGGCAAUACAACACUGGACCUGCCCUCAGACCUGUAUGAGCUCUACAAGUCAGGCCUUGAAGAGAGUUGUACACAGCGCAAGAAUAGGAUCCAAUGGAUCCGAAGAUAUUGGGCUGAGCAAUGGUUCAAGUACAACUUCGUGACACCUGAGUAUGCUGAGAAGAAUGCCAUCAAGCACCCAUGGGGCGAUUGUCUUUACAAAAAUUUGGUACCGAAGACAAAGGCUGAAGCUAUUGCUCAGGAGUUCUGUCCUUGCAUGGUCUGAGGAUCUCAGCCUGAGAAUGCUGACCCAUCAUCUCUUUUAUGGUAUCGUGACGACAACCUCUUCAAGCGCAACCUUCAGUUUGCAAAGGACUCAGCCGUGAAGAACAAGAAGGAAUUUGGCCUCGACUUCAACCCUGGCCCAUCUGCACCAGGUCAGAUGGAACACGUGAAGCCACCGAGAACAGAAUUGGCCCCUUCGCCAACUUCGAUGGGCAUCUGUCCCACAAUGCUGCCUAGAGGGCCGCAGUGGAGAAAUCUGCUAAAGAUGCAGACUUUGAAGAUGCUCCCUCACCACCGAAACAAAAGAAAAAGGCUAAAGCUUCAAAGCCCUCUGUUGCGGCUGCUCCAAAAGCUUAGAUGAAGAAGCCACUAAAAACUGCACCUCCUGAACCCAGUGUGCAAUCGGAAGAUUUGUCUCGUGUGUCCAAGAGGACUAAGAAGCCAAUGCCCAAGAAUGUUUCUGGGCAGACUCUCACUCUAGCUGCCAUUCUGCGAAAUGAGGAAGACACCAUUGAUCUGUCAAGUGAUGAAGAUCUUGGUGAUGAAGCUCUAGAGAUGUUGAUCAAUAGCAAGCAAUAGGAGAGAUCUUCAGUAAUCUGCCCCUCUUUGAUGUUGAUAUAUUGAACAACUUCAUCGAUGAAUAGUUUGACGACCAGAGCAUCAGUAUUGAUAGCCUACAGUUGCCCGUAGGCAUCAGCGUCACAUUUCAUGGAGCCAUUGCUAAUGAAUUGGCCUUAGCUCAGAAAAUCGUUGAGCUCAAAAAUGAGAUUGAUUAUGAGAAGGCGCAUUUCAAGAAGCAUAUGCACAAGCUCAGCGUGGAUGAUGUGCAAAUUUUCAAGAAGAUGUUGCAUGAUCUCAAGGCUGAAUUCCACAAGAAGCGUGAAGAAACCAAAGGUUCAAGAGAGCGCAUGAAGACUUAUGCACAGAAAUGUGUGCAAGCACACAAUCAAGUUGAAAAGAGGAAAGCUCUUGGGCGUCCUGGCAUCGACCCCAGAAUGGCUGCCAAGAAAAGUAAGAAGCAUGCCGAAGCAAAUCCUGAUGCUCCAAGGCAGGGACAACCAAGCAUUGUCUUCCCUGCCAGCAUGACUGGCUCGAAGCCAAAGGUCCCCUCUGCUACUUCAGAACUCAAGAAGACAAGCAAGCUGAAGCCGAAGCUAGGAAGGGGAAGCUCAAGGAUACAUCUGAUGAUGCUCCCUCCAAGAAAAAGUUGAAGACAAAGGGCUCUAUGUCUUCAAGAAAAGAGCAUGCAGCUUCCCCAGAGCCCCUCAUUGUCGAACCCAUUUCUGUUGCGUUACCUGCCUCUGCAAAUCGCGAGCUUCGUCUCGUCAUCCAUGAACCUGCUCCUACAGAGGCUCCUGAAAAUGAAGAAGUUCCAGCUGUUGACCCCAACGCAGCUGAAGACAUUGGUCAUGAAGACAAUGUGCAUGAUGAUGAAGUCCUUCCUCAGCUCGAGCCCCAGUUGGUAUCAUUGCCUGCUCCAACAAGCAGUGAACUCAUUAGCAUCGGUCGUCCAUUGACACCAAUUGCUCAAGAUGACUCAUGGGCUGAGCGCCAACAAGAAGACACCCCUGUACAAGAUGAAACACCCCGUACUCCACCUGCUCAAGUCACCUCUUCGAUGCUUGAUGAUGACAACUACAUGGAGGCCACUCCAUCUCCAAAGGCGUCGCCAAUGUUUUGCAGGCUUUGCAAAGGCCUCAGGCCACAGGUCUCCAUUUCGAGCAUUCCAGAAGAAGAAGUGCAAAAAAGUGGCUCAGUGGCACAUCAAGUGUUCCCUGACGCCAAUCCCUCUGCGACUGCUCAAGAUUCUGAAGCUAAAGUUGUUGAAGACAUUCCGGUUGCAUCAGCCGAUGAAGAAAAAGAAGAAGAAAGAGAAGCCCCACCCCCUGCUAAUGAUCAAGUCAUUCUUGAAGAGAAUGUGAUCAUGCUCGAUUCUCCAGUUGUUGAAUAGAUAGAGGUUGAAAACACUAAGGCUGCCACCAACAACGCUACUGAAGCCAAUGACCUGGUCAUAGCUGAAGACACUGUGGGGCCUGAAGCAAAUGUGAAUGUUGAAGCCACUAUGACACCAAUCACCUCAGAUGGCGCUGUUCCUCCACCAUGGCCCCAUACCAUGGAAAGAUCAUUCAAUCAUGAAGGUCAGCUUGUCACAGUCAGAUGGGCAAUUAUGGUUCCACCUACUGCUCCCGGGCCACAGUAUGACUAACAUUUAGAGCAGAGGCCUCAAGUUCAGAAGCCAAAGCCACGUCUGCCAAGGCUUCCAAGUGCUAACACCACACAGGGCUCAUUCAGCGUGCUCAGCUCCAAAGAGCACAAUACUUUCUUUGACAGCACUAAGAACCCAUACACGAAACCCAAGAUCUCCUCUGACAGAUUUUGGAGCCAUCAACAGCGAAGCUAUUACUCUUGCAUCCUGUACAACCAAGACCGGAUUUUUCUGCACAAACUUCUGGAUUGUGAUGCUAUGGCUGGCUUGCCAUGUCUUGAAGAGGCCCUUGACUACUUUCGGGAUGUUGGUCUUCUGGCUUUUGUGACUAAGAAGGAACACUGGAAUGAAGAGCUUCUGCCGCAGUUUUAUGCCACUCUACAUAUUCGAGGCUACAAUAGGGAUCCAAAGACUUGGAUCCUUGAGUGGAUGACAGGUGAUGUACAUCACGAAGCCAAAGCUCAGGAUAUCAUCGAUCUUACUUCCCUGCCCACUCUAGGUGAGUUAUACGAACCUAGUUGUUUGCUUUAUCGGAAUGAGCCGCAGAGCAUCUUUCAAAAGCUAGAGCCAAAUAUGAGCCAAAUGCUUAGUAUGAUGAAGCCAUUGCCGCACGAUGCUGAAUUCCCAAAGGAGUUCUUUGUAAAGGACCUUGAGUAUUCGCCAUGCAUAGUGUACCAUAUUCUAAGGCGUACUCUCUGGCCUAUCAAAGGAAAUUCUUCUGAAGCCAAACUUGAUGGCGCCAUGAAGACUUUGGCAUUCUAUGUCGUCAAUGGCAUCAGAUUCAACACUCAAGAUUUCUUUAUCAGACAACUUGCUGCUUUUGGGAUUGAUCUGUUUGGUCUGAAACUCUAUGCUCCAUGGGUGAUGCUCUUGAUUAAGCUUCGUUCAACCAUUGACUAUCAGCCUUCAGCGCGCAACCAUAUUGUCUUUCUGCCUGAAGUUGAUAUGUCUAUUGAAGCCAUCUACCCCGAGCCUGCCAAGAAGCCCCUCCACCUUCAGAAUGCUGAAUUCUAGAGCUUCACAUAGCCCAUUGAAGGUAUUCAUGUGCCCAAUGCUGCAAUUCCUUCUUAUCCUCUGGCUGGUAACCUACGCAUACCGCACUGUGCCAAUACUGAAGCCACUGCAAGCACCAUACCUCAAAGGCCUUAGAAGCGUCCUCGUGUUCUCAAUGACCAUGAGCUUCUGGUGGCUUUACAUCAAAAGCAGGACAGGCAUCAUGACUGGAUGAAGCAUCAGAUGCAAAUAUCUUUGUGGAUGUCAAUUGAAUUCGCAACUUGACCACCAAGAAAUCAUUUGUUGCGCAUGAAGCCUGUCGGCAGUCCUGGAAGAGUCUCACCUUGCUCCGCGCUGAAGAUGAUCUUUGCAAGGAUGGAUUCACUGAGAACUUCAAGUUUGACUCUAGGCCUCCUUAGAAUGCAAGUUGGCGUCGCACACCUUCCAUUGAAGAUUCUGGGUGCUCAUCUUCGGCUGCAACUAUUGUUGCGAGAGUCGUCGAUGAAGAAGAUGAUGCCACUUCUCUAGCAUUAACUUCACUGCAUCACGAUGCUGCGCCAGGCCCGUAUGCACCUCCAAACUCCAAUGUCGACCCUGCUCCAUCCUCUACUCUAGCUGGGAACGAGUAGAUACUCUAUGUCUUCAAACCUUUUUGGUCAUUACUGACAAAAGGGGGAGAGGCAUAUGAGUUGAGAGUCUUCAAGCGGGUCCAUAUGGGUUGUUGCUUUAUUUUUGCUAAGGUCUUACAACUCCCGUUUUGAAACUAUUUGGCUUUUGAGUUGUAACACUUAAACUUGAUGGUCGUCUGCUACUCUUGCUGCCACUUUGUGAUGCGAUGAUAAAUUCUGCAUGAAGUCAUUCUGCAGACGUCCAUUUUUCAUUAUGCAUAUCGUAAUCUUCAUUACUUUCAUAUAUGCAUGAUGAAUUGUCUUCACACUUUGAAGAUGGCCUCCACAAAGCAAAACCUGCCAUGUGCAUUUGCAUUCAAAAGCAAACUACUUAUAUGCACAUCUUCAGGGGGAGCCUCUUUUAAUGUAUGAAGACAAUACUCACAAAACUAAACUUCCACAUAUUUUUAUCCCCGUUGAAAACUUCAACCGGUUUGUCAUCAAUCACCAAAAAGGGGGAGAUUGUAAGUGCACCUAGUGCCACCCCUAGUUGGUUUUGGAGUAUUGACGACAAACGUGGUUGAGGGACUAAUGUGUUUGUGAGAAUUGCAGGAUAACACAGGUAGUAGUCCCUCAUUGAUUCGGUUUACCUACCAGAGAUGAACCCUAAAAAUGUGUGAAGACAUUGAAGACAAUGGUGGUUCGUGAAGACAUUCACGACAAAGAUUAUGACUUGUGAAGAUAUACACUUGAAGACUAUGGAGUGCGAAGACAUAGCUGUUUCGUAGUUUCCUUUCUUCUUUAUUGAGUCAUAGGAACCACCGUACUGUUAAAUGGGGUCCAAGUGAACAAAGUCAGAGUGACUGAAGUGAUGCUCAACCAAAUCAUAUGUCUUCGAGCGAAGACAAUGAGAGCAAACCUUAUCCAGAGCUGGAUGAGUCAUCUUUGCUUGUAGCCCAAGCCAAGCUAUCGCAUGUGUUUGAAAUCUGACCGUUGGACACGUGUCAGUUCCUUAGUGACCCAAGGUCAUUUCAGACAUACUAGGUCAGGUUGCCUCCUGGCUAUAAAUAGCCCACCCCCUACACCAUAAAUUGGUGGCUGCUCAGAGUUAGUGCACGGCUUUAGUCGUUUGAGAGCAACCCACCUCCGAAGCAUUUGAGAGAGAGAUCCUUGCGAGGAAAAAUCCCAAAACACUUAGAGCCAAAGAGUGUUAGGCAUCACUGAAGUCUUUCUGUCCGCGUGAUCCGAAGACUUGUUACACUUGAGGACUGUGAAUCCUCUAGCCGGUUAGGCUCAUGUUCUGAGCAUCCAAGAGUCAUUGUGGAUUGCCGGUGAACGAAGUCAAUGAAGGUUUGGAAGUCUACCUCGAAGACUUACCAGAGUGAUUGGGCGAGGACUGGGUGUCCUUAGCUUAAGGGGAAUAAGGUGAAGAUACGGUCUUCGGAGUUCAAUCUCAGCCUCCCUAACCAUACGUACAGUUGUCAUAGCAACUAGAACUGGUCUACCAGAUCCUUGUCUUCACCAAGCAACUGGUUCUAUCCCCUAUUCUCCUUACUAUACAGUUUGUCUUCGUGAAGUCAUUGCUUGCAUGCCUGAUUCAUUUGACUUCAUUGUGUGAAGACUUAUAUUUGUUUAGCUUCGUACUAUCUUCCAUACUGAUCAUGUCUACCUAGUUGCAGUUAGUCUUCGUGCUUUCACUAUAUUGUAUGCUUUACUAAUGCUUGCCUAGUGUAGUCUUCAUUCCGCUGCUUACUAUAUAGGCUUAGCUUACUUGUUUGUCUUCAAAGCCACCAUGUUUUGAAUACUUUCAUAAAAAUCACCUAUUCACCCCCCUCUAGUCGAUAACUAGCACUUUCAGUUUCGCUCGAUUAGUCUUUUUGAUGUGCCAUAUAAGAAUGCGACGAAGGUGGCAAACAGGUUGAAAGCGGUGUUGCCUAUUAUGAUCUCAGAAGAACAGAGUGUGUUUGUUCUAGGUAGGCUCAUAAAAAGACACUAUUCUUUUUUCUUACGAGUGUGUGCAUGCAACCAGGAUGAGAAAACGUAUAAAACCUCUUCAUGUGGUCAAGUUGGAUAUGAUGAAAGCCUAUGAUAGAAUAGAAUGAUUUUUUAACAGUCUUUGUUGAUAGUCGGAUUACGAUGGUUAUGAGAUGAGUUACUUCUGCACAAAUUUUUGUUAAUAUGAAUUAAGAUUUAUCACACAAUUUCCUACCCUCAAGAGGCCUCCCGCAAAGAGACCUUCUCCCCCCUAUUUAUUUCUUUUUUUUUGGAAGGUUUUUCUGCUUUGUUGAGUCAUGCUCAAAGGGAAAAUGAAAUUAUUGGGGUUUGUUUGAUGCACUGGCCCUUGUAAGUGCAUCUAGUUCCACCCCUUUGUUUGUGUUGGAGUAUAUAGACAACAAACCUGGUUGAGGGACCCAUGUGUUUGUGAGAUUCAUAGCAUAGCACAGGUACAAGUCCCUGGAGAUUCGAUUUAACUGUCGAAGACGACCCCUAAAAAUGUUUGAAGACAUCGAAGCCAAUGGUUUCCUUUGAAGAUAAUGAGUGAAGACAAUGAAACACGAAGGCUUAGCUUCUUUGUAGGUUUCAUUUUCUCUUUAUUGAGUCAUAGGAACCACCGCACUGUUAAGUGGGGUUGAGGUGAAAUGAAGACAGUUGUUGAAGUGAUUGCUCAACCAAAAGCCUAUAUCUUCCUUGUAAAGACAAUGAGAGAAAAUCCCGUCCAGAGUUGGAUGAGUCAGCUUUGCUUGGAGCCCAAGUAAAGUUGUCACGUGUGUUUGAAAUCAGACUAUUGGGACACGUAUCGGUUGGCCACUGACCUAGGGUUAGAUCGGUCAUAUCAUGUCAGGUUGCCUCCUCGUAAUAAAUUGAUAGCCCCCUCCACCACGAGUUGUUGGCUACUUCGAGUUUUGCAUGAAUUUUGUCGUUUGAGAGCAACCCACCUCUGAAGCCUUUGAGAGAAAUUUCCUGUGAGGAAACCAAAACACCCAUAGCCCCAAGUGAUUGAGCAUCACCGAAGACAUUCUGUUCUGAGUGAACCGAAGACUUGUUACACUUGAAGAUUGUGAUCUUCCAGUCGGUUAGGCAUCGCGUUCUAAGCAUCCCAGAGUCAUUGUGGAUUGCCGAUGAAUGAAGUAUGUGAAGGUUUGGAAGUCUCCCUUGAAGACUUACCUGAGUGAUUGGGUGAGGUCUUCUGUGACCUUAGCUCAAGGGGAAUAAGGUGAAGACAAGGUCUUCUGAGUUCAAUCUCAACCUCACUAACCAGACGUACAUCUAUCACAGCAGCUGGAACUAGUCAAACAAAUCACGUGUCUUCUCCAAGCAACUAGUUCUAUCACUUCACUCCUUACUUACUUUUUUUUGCAUUGUGAAGUCAUUGCUUGAUCCCGUUUUGUUUGAAGACAUUGCAUGAAGACAAUCCCCUUGAUCACUUCAGUGUCUUCUCAUCAUUGUCGCUAUUGUUCUUUGCUACCUAAUUUGCUCCUAGACUUCACUUCUCACUACUUUGUGUUGUUAUGUCAGCAUGUCUAGUGUAGUUUAUCUUCCAUUGUAUCAUGUUUAGCUAUUGUUUAUCAUCUAAGUCUUCGAAGACACUUCCCAUUUCGAAGACUUUCAUAAAAUUGCCUAUCCACACCCCCUCUAGUCAAUAACUGAUGUCUACUACGCUACCUUCUUCUUGUAGACGUUGUUGGGCCUCCAAGUGCAGAGGUUUGUAAGACAGUAGCAAAUUUCCCUCAAGUGGAUGACCUAAGGUUUAUCAAUCCAUGGGAGGCGUAGGAUGAAGAUGGUCUCUCUCAAACAACCCUGCAACCAAAUGCUACCUCUUGAGCACUGCGUUGGAUUUCCCCGAAGAGGAGAGGAUGAUGCAGCAAAUUAGCGUAAGUAUUUCCCUCAGUUUUUGAGAACCAAGGUAUCAAUCCAGUAGGAGACCACACACAAGUCCCUCGUACCUACACAAAACGAUAGCUCCUCGCAACCAACGCGAUUAGGGGUUGUCAAUCCCUUCACAGUCACUUACGAGAGUGAGAUCUGAUAGAGAUGAUAAAUAAUAUUUUUGGUAUUUUUGGUAUAUAGAUGCAAAGUGAAAAGUAAAAGGCAAAGUAAAAACAAAGCAAGUAAUAAAGUAAUGGAGAUUGAUAUGAGGAGAAUAGACCCGGGGCCAUAGGUUUCACUAGUGGCUUCUCUCAAGAGCAUAGAUAUUCUACGGUGGGUGAACAAAUUACUGUUGAGCAAUUGACAGAAUUCAGCAUAGUUAUGAGUAUAUCUAGGUAUGAUCAUGUAUAUAGGCAUCACGUCCGAGACAAGUAGAUCGAAAUGAUUCUGCAUCUACUACUAUUACUCCACUCAUCGACCGCUAUCCAGCAUGCAUCUAGAGUAUUAAGUUAAAAACAGAGUAACGCCUUAAGCAAGAUGACAUGAUGUAGAGGGAUAAUUUCAUGCAAUAUGAUAAAAACCCCAUCUUGUUAUCCUCGACGGCAAUAAUACAAUACGUGCCUUGCUGCCCCUUCUGUCACUAGGAAAGGACACCACAAGAUUGAACCCAAAGCUAAGCACUUCUCCCAUUGCAAGAACUACCAAUCUAGUUGGCCAAACCAAAAGGAUAAUUCGAAGAGACUUGCAAAGAUACCUCAAUCAUACAUAAAAGGAUUCAGAGAAGAUUCAAAUAUCAUUCAUAGAUAAGCUGGAUCAUAAACCCACAAUUCAUCGGUCUCAACAAACUCAUCGCAAAAAGAAGAUUACAUCGAAUAGAUCUGCACGAGAGAGGGGAAGAACAUUGUAUUGAGAUCCAAAAAGAGAGAAUAAGCCAUCUAGCUACUAGCUAUGGACCCGAAGGUCUGAAGUAAACUACUCACACUUCAUCGGAGGGGCUAUGGUGUUGAUGUAGAAGCCGUCUGUGGUGGAUGCCCCCUUCGGCGGAGCUCCGGAACAGGCCCCAAGAUGGGAUCUCGUGGAUAUAGAAGGUUGCGGCGGUGGAAUUAGGUUUUUGGCUCCUGUUCUGAUCGUUUGGGGAUACAUAGGUAUAUAUAGGAGGAAGGAGUACGUCGGUGGAGCGACAGAGGGGCCACAAGGCAGGGGGGCGCCCUGGGGGGGCACACCCCCCACCCUCGUGACUGACUCUUCUGCUUCUUGGAGUAGGGUCCAAGUCUCCUGGAUCAGUUCGGUGAGAAAAUCACGUUCCCGAAGGUUUUAUUCCGUUUGGACUCUGUUUGAUAUUCCGUUUCUUCGAAACACUAAAAUAGGCAAAAAAAACAGCAAUUCUGGGCUGGGCCUCCGGUUAAUAGGUUAGUCCCAAAAAUAAUAUAAAAUGGAAAAUAAAGCCCAAUAUAGUCCAAAAUAGUAGAUAAAGUAGCAUGGAGCAAUCAAAAAUUAUAGAUACGUUGGAGACGUAUCAGGCAUCCCCAAGCUUAAUUCCUGCUCGUCCUUGAGUAGGUAAAUGAUAAAAAGAGAAUUUUUGAUGCGGAGUGAUACUUUGGCAUAAUUUCAAUGUAAAUCUUCUUAAUUGUGGUAUGAAUAUUCAGAUCCGAAAGAUUCAAGACAAAAGUUCAUAUUGACAUAAAAAAUAAUAAUACUUCAAGCAUACUAAUCAAAGCAAUUAUGUCUUCUCAAAAUAACAUGGCCAAAGAAAGUUAUCCCUACAAAAUCAUAUAGUCUGGCUAUGCUCCAUCUUCCCCACACAAAAUAUUUAAAUCAUGCACAACCCCGAUGACAAGCCAAGCAAUUGUUUCAUACUUAUGACAUUCUCAAAACUUUUUCAAUCUUCACGCAAUAUGUGGAAUAGAAUGGUGGUUGUGGAGAAGACAAAAAGAGGGAAGAUAGUCUCACAUCAACUAGGCAUAUCAACGGGCUAUGGAGAUGCCCAUCAAUAGAUAUCAAUGUGAGUGAGUAGGGAUUGCCAUGCAAUGGAUGCACUAGAGCUAUAAGUAUAUGAAAGCUCAACAAAAGAAACUAAGUGGGUGUGCAUCCAACUCGCUUGCUCACGAAGACCUAGGGCAUUUUGAGGAAGCCCAUCAUUGGAAUAUACAAGCCAAGUUCUAUAAUGAAAAAUUCCCACUAGUAUAUGAAAGUGACAAAAUGAGAGACUCUCUAUCAUGAAGAUCUUGGUGCUACUUUGAAGCACAAGUGUGGUAAAAGGAUAGUAGCAUUGUCCCUUCUCUCUUUUUCUCUCAUUUUUUAUUUGGGCCUUUCUCUUUUUUUUGGCCUCUUUUUUUUAUUUUAAGUCCGGAGUCUCAUCCCGACUUGUGGGGGAAUCAUAGUCUCCAUCAUCCUUUCCUCACUUGGGACAAUGCUCCAAUAAUUAUGAUCAUCACACUUCUAUUUUUCUUACAACUCAACAAUUACAACUCGAUACUUAGAACAAAGUAUGACUCUAUAUGAAUGCCUCCGGCGGUGUACCGGGAUAUGCAAUGAAUCAACAGUGACAUGUAUGAAAGAAUUAUAAACGGUGGCUUUGCCACAAAUACGAUGUCAACUACAUGAUCAUGCUAGCAAUAUGACAAUGAUGGAGCGUGUCAUAAUAAACUGGACGGUGGACAGUUGCAUGGCAAUAUAUCUCAGAAUGGCUAUGGAAAUGCCAUGAUAGGUAGGUAUGGUGGCUGUUUUGAGGAAGAUAUAUGGUGGGUGUAUGAUACCGGCGAAAAGUGUGCGGUAUUAGAGAGGCUAGCAAUGGUGGAAGGAUGGGAAAAAGUGCGUAUAAUCCAUGGACUCAACAUUAGUCAUAAAGAACUCAUAUACUUAUUGCAAAAAUCUAGAAGUUAUCAAAGCAAAGUAUUACGCGCAUGCAUCUAGGGGGAUAGAUUGGUAGGAAAAGACCAUCGCUCGUCCCCGACCGCCACUCAUAAGGAAGACAAUCAAUAAAUAAAUCAUGCUCCGAGUUCAUCACAUAACGGUUCACCAUACGUGCAUGCUACGGGAAUCACAAACUUCAACACAAAUAUUCUUUAAAUUCACAACUACUCGACUAGCAUGACUCUAAUAUCACCAUCUUCAUAUCUCAAAACAAUUAUCAAGCAUCAAACAUAUCUUAGUAUUCAACGCACUAAAAAGAAAGUUUCACAUAUCUUGAAUACCAAGUAUAUUAACAUUAAGCAAAUUACCAUGCUAUUAACUACUCUUAGAAUAAUCUAAGUGAAGCAUGAGAGAUCAAUAGUUUCUUCAAAACAAAUCCACCACUGUGCUCUAAAAGAUCUAAGUGAAGCACUAGAGCAAAAAUUACCAUGCUCAAAAGAUAUAAGUGAAGCACUAUGAGCAAAACUAUCAAGCUCAAAAGAUAUAAGUGAAGUACAUAGAGUAUUCUAGCAAACUCCAAUUCAUGUAUGGCUCUCUCAAAAGGUGUGUACAGCAAGGAUGAUUGUGGUAAACUAACAAGCAAAGACGCAAAUAAUACAAGACGCUCCAAGCAAAACACAUAUCAUGUAGUGAAUAAAAAUAUAGCUCCAAGUAAAUUGCCAAUGGAAGUGGACGAAAGAGGGGAUGCCUUCCGGGGCAUCCCCAAGCUUUGAAUUUUUGGUGUCCUUGGAUUAUCUUGGGGGUGCCAUGGGCAUCCCCAAGCUUAGGCUCUUGCCACUCCUUGUUCCAUAAUCCAUCAAAAGAAUUCACCCAAAACUUGAAAACUUCACAACACAAAACUCAAUAGAAAUCUCGUGAGCUCCAUUAGAGAAAGAAAACAAAAGACUACUCAAGGUACUGUAAUGAACUCAUUCUUUAUUUAUAUUGGUGUUAAACCUACUGUAUUCCAACUUCUCUAUGGAUUAUAAACUAUUUUACUAGCCAUAGAUUCAUCAAAAUAAGCAAACAACACACGUAAAACAGAAUCUAUCAAAAACAGAACAGUCUGUAGCAAUCGUAACUAACGCAAACUUCUAGAACUCUAAAAAUUCUACCAAAUAGUAAGUCCUGGAAAAUUUGUUUAUUGAACAGGAGAAAAAAGAAUCAACGCAAAAGCACGUUUCUGUGAUUUAACAAAAUUAUAUUCGUGCGUGCAAAGUUUUUGUUUUUCAGCAGAAUCAAAUCAACUAUCAUCGUAGGUUAUCCUAUAGGUUCUACUUGGCACAAACACUAAUUAAAAGAUAAAACCACAUCCAAACAGAGGCUAGAUGGAUUAUUUAUUCCUAAACAGAAGCAAAAACAAAAAACAAAAAUAAAAUUGGGUUGCCUCCCAACAAGCGCUAUCGUUUAACGCCCCUAGCUAGGCAUAAAAGCAAGGAUAGAUCUAGGUAUUUCCAUCUUUGGUAGGCAAUCCAUAAGUGGCUCUCAUGAUAGAUUCAUAUGGUAAUUUUGUUUUAUUUCUAGGGAAGUGUUCCAUGCCCUUCUUUAAGGGAAAUUGGAAUCUAAUAUUCCCUUCCUUCAUAUCAAUAAUUGCACCAAUCGUUCUAAGAAAAGGUCUACCAAGAAUAAUAGGACAUGAAGGAUUGCAAUCUAUAUCAAGAACGAUAAAAUCUACGGGUACACAAUUCCUAUUUGCAACAAUAAGAACACCAUUAAUUCUUCCCGUAGGCUUUUUAAUAGUGGAAUCCGCAAGAUGCAAGUUUAGAGAGCAAUCAUCAAAGUCACGGAAAUCUAGCAAAUCACACAAAGUUUUGGGAAUAGUAGAGACACUAGCACCCAAAUCACAUAGAGCAUGAAACUCAUAAUCUUUAAUUUUAAUUUUAAUAGUAGGUUCCCACUCAUCAUAGAGUUUUCUAGGGACAGAAACUUUAAACUCAAGUUUUUCUUCAUAAAUUGCAUCAAGGCAUCAACAAUGUGUUCGGUAAAGGCCUUAUUUUGACUAUAAGCAUGAGGAGAAUCUAACACGGAUUGCAACAAGGAAAUACAACCAAUUAAAGAGCAAUUUUCAUAAUUAAAUUCCUUGAGAACCAAAAUAGUGGGUUUAGCAACAUCUAGGUUUUUAUUUCUUUCAAUCCCACUUUCAUCAAUUUCAUCAUCAAGAUCUAGAAACUCCGAAUUCUUAGAACGCCUUCUAGGUAAAGGAAGAUUAUAUUCACUUUCAUCAAGAUUCAUAUUGCAAAACAAAGAUUUAAUGGGGGACACAUCAAUAACUUUUAGAUCUUCAUCUUGAUUUUCAUAGGGAUUCGGUUUAGCGGCAUUCUUAUUGACUAAGGUAGCUUGCAUAUCCGAAAUUUCAGCGGUCAUCUUUUCAAGACGAGCAAUUUGGGCUCUUAUACCAUCAAAUUCUUUAGACAUAUCAUCGAGUUCUUUAUUCAUAUAACUCAUAAAACUUUUUUGUUCCUUAAGCUCGUUUCUAAAGAAAUUAUUAUGCUCAAAUUGCAAAACCAUAAACUUUCUGACAUUGCUUUUGAUCUCCUCUAGCCUUUUAAGGUGAAGAUCACCAAAUCUAGGUAGAGCCAUCGUGACAAGCAAGCAAACUAACACACAAGCAAACAAACGGACUAGAAAAAGGUAACGGGAAAAAGAGGAGGAGAUUGGGAAAGAGAGGGCGAAUAAAACGGCAAGGGUGCAGUGGGGGAGAGGCAAACGAGAGGCAAAUGGCAAAUAAUGUAAUGCGAGAGAUAGGGAUUAUGAUGGGUACUUGGUAUGGUUUGACUUGAGCGAAGACCUCCCCAGCAACGGCGCCAGAAAUUCUUCUUGCUACCUCUUGAGCACUGCAUUGGAUUUCCCCGAAGAGGAGAGGAUGAUGCAGCAAAGUAGCGUAAGUAUUUCCCUAAGUUUUUGAGAACCAAGGUAUCAAUCCAGUAGGAGACCACGCACAAGUCCCUCGUACCUACACAAAACGAUAGCUCCUCGCAACCAACGCGAUUAGGGGUUGUCAAUCCCUUCACGGUCACUUACGAGAGGGAGAUCUGAUAGAGAUGAUAAAUAAUAUUUUUGGUAUAUAGAUGCAAAGUGAAAAGUACAAGGCAAAGUAAAAACAAAGCAAGUAAUAAAGUAAUGGAGAUUGAUAUGAUGAGAAUAGACCCGGGGGCCAUAGGUUUCACUAGUGGCUUCUCUCAAGAGCAUAGAUAUUCUACGGUGGGUGAACAAAUUACUAUUGAGCAAUUGACAGAAUUGAGCAUAGUUAUGAGUAUAUCUAGGUAUGAUCAUGUAUAUAGGCAUCACGUCCGAGACAAGUAGAUCGAAACGAUUCUGCAUCUACUACUAUUACUCCACUCAUCGACCGCUAUCCAGCAUGCAUCUAGAGUAUUAAGUUAAAAACAGAGUAACGCCUUAAGGAAGAUGACAUGAUGUAGAGGGAUAAUUUCAUGCAAUAUGAUAAAAACCCCAUCUUGUUAUCCUCGAUGGCAACAAUACAAUACGUGCCUUGCUGCCCCUUCUGUCACUGGGAAAGGAUACCGCAAGAUUGAACCCAAAGCUAAGCACUUCUCCCAUUGCAAGAACUACCAAUCUAGUUGGCCAAACCAAAAGGAUAAUUCGAAGAGACUUGCAAAGAUAACUCAAUCAUACAUAAAAGAAUUCAGAGAAGAUUCAAAUAUUAUUCUUAGAUAUGCUGGAUCAUGAACCCACAAUUCAUCGGUCUCAACAAACACACCGCAAAAAGAAGAUUACAUCAAAUAGAUCUGCACGAGAGAGGGGGAGAACAUUGUAUUGAGAUACAAAAAUAGAGAAGAAUCCAUCUAGCUACUAGCUAUGGACCCGAAGGUCUGAAGUAAACUACUCACACUUCAUCGGAGGGGCUAUGGUGUUGAUGUAGAAGCCCUCCAUGGUGGAUGCCCCCUCCGGCGGAGCUCCGGAACAGGCCCCAAGAUGGGAUCUCAUGGAUACAGAAGGUUGCGGCGGUGGAAUUAGGUUUUUGGCUCCUGUUCUGAUCGUUUGGGGAUACGUACGUAUAUAUAGGAGGAAGGAGUACAUCGGUGGAGCAACAAAGGGGCCACGAGGCAGGGGGCACGCCCUAGGGGGGGCGCCCCCCACCCUCGUGACCGACUCUUCUGCUUCUUGGAGUAGGGUCCAAGUCUCCUGGAUCACGUUCGGUGAGAAAAUCACGUUCCCGAAGGUUUUAUUCCGUUUGGACUCCGUUUGAUUUUCCGUUUCUUCGAAACACUGAAAUAGGCAAAAAACAGCAAUUCUGGGCUAGGCCUCCGGUUAAUAGGUUAGUCCCAAAAAUAAUAUAAAAGUGGAAAAUAAAGCCCAAUAUAGUCCAAAACAGUAGAUAAAGUAGCAUGGAGCAAUAAAAAAUUAUAGAUACGUUCGAGACGUAUCACCAAAUAACAAAGAGUCUCUUGUGGCCCCAACACACCCAAUACAAUGGUAAAUUGUAUAGGUGCAUUAUUUUAGCGAAGAGAUGGUGACACGAGUGCAAUAUGGAUGGUAGAUAUGGGUGUUUGUAAUCUGAAAUUAUAAAAACAGCAAGGUAGCAAGUGACAAAAGUGAGCAAAAACAGUAUUGCAAUGCUUUGAAACAAGGCCUAGGGUUCAUACUUUCACUAGUGCAAGUUCUCUCAACAAGGAUAACAUAAUUAGAGCAUAUAAAAAUCCCUCAACGUGCAACAAAAAGUCACUCCAAAGUCACUAAUAGCGGAGAACAAACAAAGAGAUUAUUGUAGGGUACGAAACCACCUCAAAGUUAUUCUUUCCGAUCAAUCCAUUGGGCUAUUCAAAUAAGUGUCACAAACAACCCUAGAGUUCAUAGUAAAAUAACACCUUAAGACACAAAUCAACCAAAACCCUAAUGUCACCUAGAUACUCCAAUGUCACCUCAAGUAUCCGUGGGUAUGAUUAUACGAUAUGCAUCACACAAUCUCAGAUUCAUCUAUUCAAACCAACACAAAGAACUUCAUAGAGUGCCCCAAAGUUUCUACCAGAGAGUCAAGAUGAACGUGUGCCAACCCCUAUGCAUAGAUUCCCAAGGUCACGGAACCCACAAGUUGAUCACGAGGGGUUGGCGUCGGUUUCACAUCAGGGGGGCCCAUAGGGAGUCCACGAGGCAGGGGUCGCACCCUAGGGGGGGGGCCUCCACCCUCAUGGGGACCACGGAACUCCCCUCCGGUAGCUUUUCGUUCCAGUAUUUCUUAUAUUUUCCAAAAAUAUUCUCCGCAGAAUUUCAACGCAUUCCGAGAACUUUUAUUUCUACACAAAAACAACACCACGGUAGUUCUACUGAAAACAGCGUCAGUCCGGGUUAGUUCUAAUCAAAUCAUACCAAAAUCAUGUAAAAAUAUUAUAAACAUGGCAUGAAUACAUCAAAAAUUAUAGAUACGUUGGAGACGUAUCAAGCAUCCCCAAGCUUAAUUCCUGCUCGUCCUCGAGUAGGUAAAUGAUAAAAACAAAAAAAUUGAUGUGGAAUGCUACCUAAAAUAUUUAUCAAUGUAAUCUUCUCUAUUGUGGCAAGAAUAUUUAGAUCCAUAAGAUUCAAAACAAAAUUUUAAUAUUGACACAAUAAUAGUAAUACUUCAAGCAUACUAACAAAGCAAUCAUGUCUUAUCAAAAUAACAUGGCCAAAGAAAUCUAUCCCUACAAAAUCAUAUAGUCUAGCUAUGCUCUAUCUUCAUCACACAAAAUAUUUAAAUCAUGCACAACCCCGAUGACAAGCCAAGCAAUUAUUUCAUACUUUUGAUGUUCUCAAACCUUUUCAAUCUUCACCCAAUACAUGAGCGUGAGCCAUGGAUAUAGCACUAUAGGUGGAAUAGAAUGGUGGUUGUGGAGAAGACAAAAAGGGAGAAGAUAGUCUCACAUCAACUAGGCGUAUCAACGGGCUAUGGAGAUGCCCAUCAAUAGAUAUCAAUGUGAGUGAGUAGGGAUUGCCGUGCAAUGGAUGCACUAGAGCUAUAAGUGUAUGAAAGCUCAAAACGAAACUAAGUGUGUGUGUGCAUCCAACUCGCUUGCUCACAAAGACCUAGGGCAAUUUGACGAAGCCCAUCAUUGGAAUAUACAAGCCAAGUUCUAUAAUGAAAAAUUCCCACUAGUAUAUGAAAGUGACAACAUAGGAGACUCUCUAUCAUUAAGAUCAUGGUGCUACUUUGAAGCACAAGUGUGGAAAAAGGGUAGUAGCAUUGCCCCUUCUCUCUUAUUCUCUUGUUUUUUUGUUUUUUGUUUUUUUUGGGCCUUCUCUCUUUUUUUUGGCCUCUUUAUUUAUUUUAUUUAUUUUUUUCGUCCGGAGUCUCAUCCCGACUUGCGGGGGAAUCAUAGUCUCCAUCAUCCUUUCCUCACUGGGACAAUGCUCUAAUAAUGAAGAUCAUCACACUUUUAUUUACUUACAACUCAAGAAUUACAACUCGAUACUUAGAACAAAAUAUGACUCUAUAUGAAUGCCUCCGGCGGUGUACCGGGAUGUGCAAUGAAUCAAGAGUGACAAGUAUGAAAGAAUUAUGAAAGGUGGCUUUGCCACAGAUACGAUGUCAACUACAUGAUCAUGCAAAGCAAUAUGACAAUGAUGAAGUGUGUCAUAAUAAACAGAACGGUGGAAAGUUGCAUGGCAUUAUAUCUCGGAAUGGCUAUGAAAAUGCCAUAAUAGGUAGGUAUGGUGGCAGUUUUGAGGAAGGUAUAUGGUGGGUGUAUGGUACCUGUGAAAGUUGUGCGCUACUAGAGAGGCUAGCAAUGGUGGAAGGGUGAGAGUGUGUAUAAUCCAUGGACUCAACAUUAGUCAUAAAGAACUCACAUACUUAUUGCAAAAAUCUAUUAGUUAUCGAAACGAAGUACUACGCGCAUGCUCCUAGAGGGAUAGAUUGGUCGGAAAAGACCAUCGCUCGUCCCCGACCGCCACUCAUAAGGAAGACAAUCAAAAAAUAAAUCAUGCUCCAACUUCAUCACAUAACGGUUCACCAUACGUGCAUGCUACGGGAAUCACAAACUUCAACACAAGUAUUUCUACAAUCCACAAUUACUCACUAGGAUGACUCUAAUAUCAACCAUCCUCAUAUCUGAAAACAAUCAUAAAGAAUCAAAGUUCUCAUAGUAUUCAAUGCACUUCAUAUGGAAGUUUUUAUUAUAUCCCUCUUGGAUGCCUAUCAUAUUAGGACUAAAUUCAUAACCAAAGCAAAUUACCAUGCUGUUUAAGACUCUCAAAAUAAUAUAAGUAAAGCAUGAGAGUUCAUCUAUUUCUUCAAAAUAAAACCACCGCCGUGCUCUAAAAAGAUAUAAGUGAAGCACUAGAGCAAACGACAAACUACUCCAAAAGAUAUAAGUGAAGAUCAAUGAGCAGUCGAAUAAUUAUGCAACUAUGUGAAGACUCUCUAACAUUUAAUAAUUUCAGAUCUUAGCAUAUUAUUCAAACAGCAAGUAAAAUAAAAUAAAAUGACGCUUCAAGCAAAACACAUAUCAUGUGGUGAAUAAAAAUAUAGCUCCAAGUAAAGUUACCGAUAGACGAAGACGAAAGAGGGGAUGCCUUCCGGGGCAUCCCCAAGAUUAGGAUUUUGGUUGUCCUUGAGUUUUACCUUGGGGUGCAUUGGGCAUCCCCAAGAUUAGGCUCUUGCCACUCCUUAUUCCAUAAUCCAUCGAAUCUUUACCCAAAACUUGAAAACUUCACAACACAGAACUCAACAGAAAACUCGUACGCUCCGUUAGUAUAAGAAAAUAAAUCACCACUCUUGGUACUGUUAUGAACUCAUUCUAAAUUAAUAUUGUAAUAUAUAAUGUAUUCCAACUUCUCUAUGGUUCAUACCCUCCGAUACUACUCAUAGAUUCAUCAAAAUAAGCAAACAACACAAAGAAAACAGAAUCUGUCAAAAACAGAACAAUCUGUAUUAAUCUGUAACUCUCGAAUACUUAUGAAACUCCAAAAAUUCUGAAAUAAAUUGGUGGAUGUGAGAAAUUUGUCUAUUAAUCUUCUGCAAAAAAGAAUUAACUCAAAAUCACUCUUCUGUAAAAAAUGACAGCUAAUCUCGUGAGCGCAAAGUUUCUGUUUUUUUACAGCAAGAUCACAUUAACUUUCACCCAAGUCUUCCCAAAGGUUCUACUUGGCGCUUUAUUAAAACAAAAGCUAUAAAACAUGAUUACUACAGUAGCUUAAUCAUGUGAACACACAAAAACAGUAGCCAAAUCCACUUUCAUAAUUAUCACAAUAAGAUUCAACACCCUCCAAAAUAGUGGGAUCAUUACUUCCUAAAGUUGACACUCUUCCAAACCCACUUUCAUCAAUAUAAUCAUCAUAAAUAGGAAGCAUGAUAUCAUCUUAAUAAAUUUGCUCAUCAAAACUUGGGGGACUAAAAAUAUCAUAUUCAUCAAACAUAGCCUCCCAAGCUUGCGGCUGCAUAUCAUUAGCAUCAUGGAUAUUCAAGGAACUCAUACUAAUAACAGUGCAAUCAUGCUCAUCAUUCAAAGAUUCAGUGUCAAACAUUUUAAUGCAUUCUUCUUCUAACACUUUGGCACAAUUUUCCUUCCAUCAUUUUCACGAAAGAUAUUAAAAAGAUGAAGCAUAUGAGGCACCCUCAAUUCCAUUUUUUUGUAAUUUUCUUUUAUAUACUAAACUAGUGAUAAAACAAGAAAUAAAAAUAUUCGAUUGCAAGAUCUAAAGAUAUACCUUCAAGCACUAACUGAUACGUCUCCAACGUAUCUAUAAUUUUUGAUUGCUCCAUGCUACUUUAUCUACUGUUUUGGACUAUAUUGGGCUUUAUUUUCCACUUUUAUAUUAUUUUUGGGACAAACCUAUUAACCGGAGGCCCAGCCCAGAAUUGCUAUUUUUUUGCCUAUUUCAGUGUUUUGAAGAAACGGAAUAUCAAACGGAAUAACACCUUCGGGAACGUGAUUUUCUCACCGAACGUGAUCCAGGAGACUUGGACCCUACUCCAAGAAGCAAAAGAGUCGGUCACGAGGGUGGGGGCGCCCCCCCUAGGGCGCGCCCCUGCCUCGUGGCCCCCUGUUGCUCCAUCGACGUACUCCUUCCUCCUAUAUAUACCUAUGUAUCCCCAAACGAUCAGAACAGGAGCCAAAAACCUAAUACCACCACCGCAACCUUCUGUAUCCACGAGAUCCCAUCUUGGGGCCUGUUCCGGAGCUCCGCCGGAGGGGGCAUCCACCACGGAGGGCUUCUACAUCAACACCAUAGCCCCUCCGAUGAAGUGUGAGUAGUUUACUUCAGAGCUUCGGGUCCAUAGCUAGUAGCUAGAUGGCUUCUUCUCUCUUUUUUGAUCUCAAUACAAUGUUCUCCCCCUCUCUCGUGGAGAUCUAUUCAAAGUAAUCUUCUUUUUGCGGUGUGUUUGUUGAGAUCAAUGAAUUGUGGGUUUAUGAUCAAGCUUAUCUAUGAAUAACAUUUGAAUCUUCUCUGAAUUCUUUUAUGUAUGAUUGAGUUAUCUUUGCAAGUCUCUUCGAAUUAUCCUUUUGGUUUGGCCAACUAGAUUGGUAGUUCUUGUAAUGGGAGAAGUGCUUAGCUUUGGGUUCAAUCUUGCGGUGUCCUUUCCCAGUGACAGAAGGGGAAGCAAGGCACGUAUUGUAUUGUUGCCAUCGAGGAUAACAAGAUGUUUUUUUAUCAUAUUGCAUGAAUUUAUCCCUCUACAUCAAGUCAUCUUGCUUAAGGCGUUACUUUGUUUUUAACUUAAUACUCUAGAUGCAUGCUGGAUAGCGAUCGAUGAGUAGAGUAAUAGUAGUAGAUGCAGAAUCGUUUCGAUCUACUUGUCUCGGACGUGGUGCCUAUAUACAUGAUCGUACCUAGAUAUACUCAUAACUAUGCUCAAUUCUGUCAAUUGCUCAACAGUAAUUUGUUCACCCAUCGUAGAAUAUCUAUGCUCUUGAGAGAAGCCACUAGUGAAACCUAUGGCCCCCGGGUCUAUUCUCAUCAUAUCAAUCUUCAUUACUUUAUUGCUUGCUUUGUUUUUACUUUGCCUUUUACUUUUCACUUUGCAUCUAUAUACCAAAAAUACCAAAAAUAUUAUUUAUCAUCUCUAUCAGAUCUCACUCUCGUAAGUGACCGUGAAGGGAUUGACAACCCCUAAUCGCGUUGGUUGCGAGGAGCUAUCGUUUUGUGUAGGUACGAGGGACUUGUGCGUGGUCUCCUACUGGAUUGAUACCUUGGUUCUCAAAAACUGAGGGAAAUACUUACGCUACUUUGCUGCAUCAUCCUCUCCUCUUCGGGGAAAUCCAACCCAGUGCUCAAGAGGUAGCAAGAAGAAUUUCUGGCGCCGUUGCCGGGGAGGCUCAUGCAAGCAUGUCAACCAUACCAAGUACCCAUCACAAUCCCUAUCUCUCGCAUUACAUUAUUUGCCAUUUGCCUCUCGUUUUCCUCUCCCCUACUUCACCCUUGCCGUUUUAUUCGCCCUCUCUUUCCCGUUUGCCUUUUUCCGUUGCCUCUCUGUUUGCUUGUGUGUUGGAUUACUUGUUUCCAUGGCGCAAGAUAAUACCAAAUUGUGUGAUUUCUUGAAUACCAAUAAUAAUGAUUUCCUUAGUAGUCCGAUUGCUCCUCUUAAUAAUGAUGAGUCUUGUGAAAUCAAUACCGCUUUGCUGUAUCUUAUUAUGAAAGAUCAAUUCGCCGGCCUUCCUAGUGAAGAUGCCGCUACUCAUCUAAACAAUUUUGUUGACUUGUGUGAUAUGCAAAAGAAGAAAGAUACGGAUAACAAUAUUGUCAAAUUGAAGUUAUUUCCGUUUUCACUUAGAGAUCGUGCUAAAGUUUGGUUUUCGUCUUUGCCUAAAAAUAGUAUUGAUUCUUUGAACAAGUGCAAAGAUGCUUUUAUCUCUAAGUAUUUUCCUCCCUCUAAGAUCAUCACUCUUAGGAACGAUAUUAUGAAUUUUAAACAACUUGAUCAUGAGCAUGCUGUCCAAUCUUGGGAAAGAAUGAAAUUGAUGCUUCGCAAUUGCCCUACUCAUGGUUUGAAUUUAUGGAUGAUCAUACAAAAUUUUAUGCCGGAUUGAAUUUUGCUUCUAGAAAUCUUUUAGAUUCGGCCGCGGGAGGCAUGUUUAUGGAAAUUACGUUAGGAGAUGCUACAAAAUUGCUUGAUAAUAUUAUGGCUAAUUAUUCUCAAUGGCACACCGAAAGAUCUUCUAGUAAAAAAGUGCAUGCUAUAGAAGAAAUCAAUGUUUUGAGUGAAAAGAUGGAUGAACUUAUGAAGAUGUUUGCUACUAAAAAUACUUCUCUUGAUCCCAAUGAUAUUCCUUUGUCUACUUUGAUUGAGAACAAUAAUGAAUCUAUGGAUGUGAAUUUUGUUGGUAGGAAUAGUUUUGGAAAUAACGCGUAUAUAGGGAAUUUUAAUCCUAGGCCUUAUCCUAGUAAUCCUUCUAAUAAUUAUGGAAAUUCCUACAACAACUCUUAUGGAAAUUUUAAUAAGAUGCCCUCUGAAUUUGAGAGUAGUGUUAAAGAGUUUAUGAAUUCACAAAAGAAUUUUAAUGCUUUGCUUGAAGAGAAAUUGCUUAAAGUUGAUGAUUUGGCUAGGAACGUUGAUAGAAUUUCUCUUGAAAUUGAUUCUUUAAAGCUUAGAUCUAUUCCUCCUAAGCAUGAUAUCAAUGAGUCUCUCAAAGCCAUCAGAAUUUCCAUUGAUGAGUGCAAAGAAAGAACCGCUAGGAUGAGUGCUUCCAAAGAUACCUUUAUUAAAGCGUGUUCUUCCAAUUCCUAUGAAAAUUAAGAUGAAGAUCUAAAAGUUAUUGAUGUGUCCCCCAUUAAAUCUUUGUUUUGAAAUAUGAAUCUUGAUGAAACUGAAUAUGAUCUUCCUUUACCUAGAAGGGGUUCUAAGAAUUCAGAGUUUCUAGAUCUUGAUGAUGAAAUCGAUGAAAGUGGGAUUGAAAGAUAUAAAAACCUAGAUGUUGCUAAACCCACUAUUUUAGAUCUCAAGGAAUUUAAUUAUGAAAAUUGCUCUUUAAUUGGUUGUAUUUCCUUGUUGCAACCCGUGCUAGAUUCUCCUCAUGCUUAUAGUCAAAAUAAGGCCUUUACCGAACACAUUGUUGAUGCCUUGCUGCAAUCUUAUGAAGAAAAACUUGAGUUGAAAGUUUCUAUCCCUAGAAAACUCUAUGAUGAGUGGGAACCUACUAUUAAAAUUAAAAUUAAAGAUUAUGAGUUUCAUGCUUUGUGUGAUUUGGGUGCUAGUGUCUCUACUAUUCCCAAAACUUUGUGUGAUUUGCUAGAUUUCCGUGACUUUGAUGGUUGCUCUCUAAACUUGCAUCUUGCGGAUUCCACUAUUAAAAAGCCUAUGGGAAGAAUUAAUGAUGUUCUUAUUGUUGCAAAUAGGAAUUAUGUACCCGUAGGUUUUAUCGUUCUUGAUAUAGAUUGCAAUCCUUCAUGUCCUGUUAUUCUUGGUAGACCUUUCCUAAGAACGAUUGGUGCAAUUAUUGAUAUGAAGGAAGGGAACAUUACAUACCGAUUUCCCUUAAAUAAGGGCAUGGAACACUUCCCUAGAAAGAAAAUAAAAUUACCAUAUGAAUCUAUCAUGAGAGUCACUUAUGGAUUGCCUACCAAAGAUGGCAAUACCUAGAUCUAUCCUUGCUUUUAUGCCUAGCUAGGGGCGUUAAACGAUAGCGCUUGUUGGGAGGCAACCCAAUUUUAUUUGUGUUUUUUGUUUUUGCUUCUGUUUAGGAAUAAAUAAUCCAUAUAGCUUCUGUUUGGAUGUGGUUUUAUGUUUUAAUUAGUGUUUGUGCGAAGUAGAACCUAUAGGAUAACCUACGAUGAUAGUUGAUUUGAUUCUGCUGAAAAACAGAAACUUUGCACACACAAAUAUAAUUUUGUUAAAUCACAGAAACGUGAUUUUGCGUUGAUUCUCUUUGAUGCUGUUCAACAAACAAAUUUUCCAGGACUUCCUAUUUUGGUAGAAUUUUUAGAGUUUCAGAAGUUUGUGGUAGUUACAUAUUGCUAUAGACUGUUCUGUUUUUGACAGAUUCUGUUUUACGUGUGUUGUUUGCUUAUUUUGAUGAAUCUAUGGCUAGUAAAAUAGUUUAUAAUCCAUAGAGAAGUUGGAAUACAGUAGGUUUAACACCAAUAUAAAUAAAGAAUGAGUUCAUUACAGUACCUUGAGUAGUCUUUUGUUUUCUUUCUCUAACGGAGCUCACGAGAUUUCUAUUGAGUUUUGUGUUGUGAAGUUUUCAAGUUUUGGGUGAAUUCUUUUGAUGGAUUAUGGAACAAGGAGUGGCAAGAGCCUAAGCUUGGGGAUGCCCAUGGCACCCCCAAGAUAAUCCAAGGACACCAAAAAGUCAAAGCUUGGGGAUGCCCCGGAAGGCAUCCCCUCUUUCGUCCACUUCCAUCGGUAAUUUAUUUGGAGCUAUAUUUUUAUUCACCACAUGAUAUGUGUUUUGCUUGGAGCGUCUUGUAUUAUUUGCGUCUUUGCUUGUUAGUUUACCACAAUCAUACUUGAUGUACACACCUUUUGAGAGAGCCAUACACGAAUUGGAAUUUGCUAGAAUACUCUACGUGCUUCACUUAUAUCUUUUGAGCUUGAUAGUUUUGCUCAUAGUGCUUCACUUAUAUCUUUUGAGCGUGAUAAUUUUUGCUCUAGUGCUUCACUUAGAUCUUUUAGAGCACGGUGGUGGAUUUGUUUUAAAGAAACUAUUGAUCUCUCAUGCUUCACUUAGAUUAUUUUGAGAGUCGUUAAUAGCAUGGUAAUUUGCUUAAUGUUAAUAUACUUGGUAUUCAAGAUAUGUGAAACUUUCUUUUUAGUGCGUUGAAUACUAAGAUAAGUUUGAUGCUUGAUAAUUGUUUUGAGAUAUGAAGAUGGUGAUAUUAGAGUCAUGCUAGUUGAGUAGUUGUGAAUUUAAAGAAUACUUGUGUUGAAGUUUGUGAUUCCCGUAGCAUGCACGUAUGGUGAACCGUUAUGUGAUGAACUCGGACCAUGAUUUAUUUAUUGAAUGUCUUCCUUAUGAGUGGUGGCCGGGGACGAGCGAUGGUCUUUUCCUACCAAUCUAUCCCCCUAGGAGCAUGCGCGUAAUACUUUGCUUUGAUAACUUCUAGAUUUUUGCAAUAAGUAUAUGAGUUCUUUAUGACUAAUGUUGAGUCCAUGGAUUAUACGCACUUUUUCCCAUCCUUCCACCAUUGCUAGCCUCUCUAAUACCGCGCACUUUUCGCCGGUAUCAUACACCCACCAUAUAUCUUCCUCAAAACAGCCACCAUACCUACCUAUCAUGGCAUUUCCAUAGCCAUUCCGAGAUAUAUUGCCAUGCAACUUUCCACCGUUCAGUUUAUUAUGACACGCUCCAUCAUUGUCAUAUUGCUAGCAUGAUCAUGUAGUUGACAUCGUAUUUGUGGCAAAGCCACCAUUUAUAAUUCUUUUAUACAUGUCACUCUUGAUUCAUUACAUAUCCCGGCACACCGCCGGAGGCAUUCAUAUAGAGUCAUACUUUGUUCUAAGUAUCGAGUUGUAAUUGUUGAGUUGUAAGAAAAAUAAAAGUGUGAUCAUCAUCAUUAUUAGAGCAUUGUCCCAAGUGAGGAAAGGAUGAUGGAGACUAUGAUUCCCCCACAAGUCGGAUGAGACUCCGGGCAAAAAAAAAGAGACCAAAAAAAAGAGAAAGGCCCAAAUAAAAAAAAUGAGAGAAAAAGAAAGAAGGGACAAUGCUACUAUCCUUUUACCACACUUGUGCUUCAAAGUAGCACCAAGAUCUUCAUGAUAGAGAGUCUCUCAUUUUGUCACUUUCAUAUACUAGUGGGAAUUUUUCAUUAUAUAACUUGGCUUGUAUAUUCCAAUGAUGGGCUUCCUCAAAGUGCCCUAGGUCUUCGUGAGCAAGUGAGUUGGAUGCACACCCACUUAGUUUCUUUUGUUGAGCUUUCAUAUACUUAUAGCUCUAGUGCAUCCGUUGCAUGGCAAUCCCUACUCACUCACAUUGAUAUCUAUUGAUGGGCAUCUCCAUAGCCCGUUGAUACGCCUAGUUGAUGUGAGACUAUCUUCCCUCUUUUUUUCUUCUCCACAACCACCAUUCUAUUCCACAUAUAGUUCUAUAACCAUGGCUCACGCUCAUGUAUUGCGUGAAGAUUGAAAAAGUUUUGAGAAUGUCAUAAGUAUGAAACAAUUGCUUGGCUUGUCAUCGGGGUUGUGCAUGAUUUAAAUAUUUUGUGUGGGGAAGAUGGAGCAUAGCCAGACUAUAUGAUUUUGUAGGGAUAACUUUCUUUGGCCAUGUUAUUUUGAGAAGACAUAAUUGCUUUGAUUAGUAUGCUUGAAGUAUUAUUAUUUUUUAUGUCAAUAUGAACUUUUGUCUUGAAUCUUUCGGAUCUAAAUAUUCGUACCACAAUUAAGAAGAUUUACAUUGAAAUUAUGCCAAAGUAUCACUCCGCAUCAAAAAUUCUCUUUUUAUCAUUUACCUACUCGAGGACGAGCAGGAAUUAAGCUUGGGGAUGCCUGAUACGUCUCCAACGUAUCUAUAAUUUUUUAUCGCUCCAUGCUACUUUAUAUACUAUUUUAGACUAUAUUGGGCUUUAUUUUCCACUUUUAUAUUAUUUUUGGGACUAACCUAUUAACCGGAGGCCCAGCCCAGAAUUGUUGUUUUUUGCCUAUUUCAGUGUUUCGAAGAAACGGAAUAUCAAACAGAGUCCAAACGGAAUAAAACCUUCGGGAACGUGAUUUUCUGACCGAACGUGAUCCAGGAGACUUGGACCCUACUCCAAGAAGCAGAAGAGUCGGUCACGAGGGUGGGGGGCGAGCCCCCCCAGGGCGCGCCCCCCUGCCUCGUGGGCCCCCUGUUGCUCCAUCGACGUAGUCCUUCCUCCUAUAUAUACCUACGUAUCCCCAAACGAUCAGAACAGGAGCCAAAAACCUAAUUCCACCGCCGCAACCUUCUGUAUCCACGAGAUCCCAUCUUGGGGCUUGUACCGGAGCUCCGCCGGAGGGGGCAUCCACCACGGAGGGCUUCUACAUCAACACCAUAGCCCCUCCGAUGAAGUGUGAGUAGUUUACUUCAGACCUUCGGGUCCAUAGCUAGUAGCUAGAUGGCUUCUUCUCUCUUUUUGGAUCUCAAUACAAUGUUCCCCCCCUCUCUCGUGGAGAUCUAUUCGAUGUAAUCUUCUUUUUGCGGUGUGUUUGUUGAGAUCGAUGAAUUGUGGGUUUAUGAUCCAGCUUAUCUACGAACAAUAUUUGAAUCUUCUCUAAAUUCUUUUAUGUAUGAUUGAGUUAUCUUUGGAAGUCUCUUCGAAUUAUCCUUUUGGUUUGGCCAACUAGAUUGGUAGUUCUUGCAAUGGGAGAAGUGCUUAGCUUUGGGUUCAAUCUUGCGGUGUCCUUGCCCAGAGAUAGAAGGGGUAGCAACACAUGUAUUGUAUUGUUGCCAUCGAGGUUAACAAGAUGGUUUUUUUUAUCAUAUUGCAUGAAUUUAUCCCUCUACAUCAUGUCAUCUUGCUUAAGGCGUUACUCUGUUUUUAACUUAAUACUCUAGAUGCAUGCUGGAUAGCGGUCGAUGAGUGGAGUAAUAGUAGUAGAUGCAGAAUCAUUUCGAUCUACUUGUCUCGGACGUGAUGCAUAUAUACAUGAUCGUACCUAGAUAUACUCAUAACUAUGCUCAAUUCUGUCAAUUGCUCAACAGUAAUUUGUUCACCCACCAUAGAAUAUCUAUGCUCUUGAGAGAAGCCACUAGUGAAACCUAUGGCCCCAGGGUCUAUUCUCAUCAUAUCAAUCUCCAUUACUUUAUUGCUUGCUUUGUUUUUACUUUGCAUUUUACUUUUCACUUUGCAUCUAUAUACCAAAAAUACCAAAAAUAUAAUUUAUCAUCUCUAUCAGAUCUCACUCUCGUAAGUGAACGUGAAGGGAUUGACAACACCUAAUCGCGUUGGUUGCGAGGAGCUAUCGUUUUGUGUAGGUACGAGGGACUUGUGCGUGGUCUCCUACUGGAUUGAUACCUUGGUUCUCAAAAACUGAGGGAAAUACUUACGCUACUUUGCUGCAUCAUCCUCUCCUCUUCGGGGAAAUCCAACGCAGUGCUCAAGAGGUAGCACUAACCUCCCUGGCAACGAUGCCAGAAAAGAGCUUGAUGUCUACUACGCAAUCUUCUUCUUGUAGACGUUGUUGGGCCUCCAAGUGCAGAGGUUUGUAGGGCAGUAGCAAAUUUCCCUCAAGUGGAUGACCUAAGGUUUAUCAAUCCGUGGGAGGCGUAGGAUGAAGAUGGUCUCUCUCAAAUAACCCUGCAUUCAAAUAACAAACAGUCUCUUGUGUCCCCAACACACCCAAUACAAUGGUAAAUUGUAUAGGUGCACUAGUUCGGUGAAGAGAUGGUGAUACAAGUGCAAUAUGGGUGGUAGAUAUGGGUUUUUGUAAUCUGAAACUAUAAAAACAGCAAGGUAGCAAGUGAUAAAAGUGAGAGAAAACAGUAUUGCAAUGCUUUGAAACAAGGCCUAGGGUUCAUACUUUUACUAGUGCAAGUUCUCUCAACAAGGAUUACAUAAUUAGAUCAUAUAACAAUCCCUCAACGUGCAACAAAGAGUCACUCCAAAGUCACUAAUAGCGGAGAACAAACGAAGAGAUUAUUGUAGGGUACGAAACCACCUCAAAGUUAUUCUUUCCGAUCAAUCCAUUGGGCUAUUCCUAUAAGUGUCACAAACAGCCCUAGAGUUCGUAGUAAAAUAACACCUUAAGACACAAAUAAACCAAAACCCUAAUGUCACCUAGAUACUCCAAUUUCACCUCAAGUAUCCGCGGGUAUAAUUAUACGAUAUGCAUCACACAAUCUCAGAUUCAUCUAUUCAAACCAACACAAAGAACUUCAUAGAGUGCCCCAAAGUUUUUACCGGAGAGUCAAGACGAAAACAUGUGCCAACCCCUAUGCAUAGAUUCCCAAGGUCACGGAACCCACAAGUUGAUCACCAAAACAUACAUCAAGUGAAUCAAUAGAAUACCCCAUUGUCACCACGAGUAUCCCACGCAAGACAUACAUCAAGUGUUCUCAAAUCCUUAAAGACUCAAUCCGAUAAGAUAACUUCAAAUGGAAAACUCAAUCCAUUACAAGAAGGUAGAGGGGGAGAAACAUCAUAUGAUCCAACUAUAAUAACAAAGCUCACGAUACAUCAAGAUCAUGCCAAAUCAAGAACACGGGAGAGAGAGAGAGAUCAAACACAUAGCUACUGGUACAUACCCUCAGCCCCGAGGGUGAACUACUCCCUCCUCGUCAUGGAGAGCAUUGGGAUGAUGAAGAUGGCCACUGGUGAUGGAUUCCCCCUCCGACAGGGUGCCGGAACAGGGUCCCGAUUGGUUUUUCGUGGCUACAGAGGCUUGCGGCGGCAGAACUCCCGAUCUAGGUUUUGUUCUGGAAGUUUGGGGAUUUAUAGGAGGGGUUGGCGUCGGUUUCACGUCAGGGGGCCCCACAGGUAGUCCACGAGGCAGGGGGCGCGCCCUAAGGGGGGCACCCUCCACCCUCUGGGGCCCACGGGACUCCCAUUCGGUAGCUUUUCAUUCUAGUAUUUUUUAUGUUUGCCAAAAAUAUUCUCCGCUGAUUUUCAACGCAUUCCGAGAACUUUUUUUUGAGGAACUUGACAGUGGGAGAGAACUCCCGCUGCAUAUAUUUCAUAUAUCCAUAUAAAUGGGGUGUUUACAUAGAUAUAUCACUUACAUCACAUCCCACCCUCACUACUGGUGUCACCAAAUAGGGGGGUGGUCAGCUAUGCCAUGAUCACCACUCACACACUAUAUUUUUUUGGCUCUAUGCAAGCUAACAGAGUACAGAAGUAGAAGAAGGACUCAACUAAGUGUGUCACAGUAUGAAAGCAGGGCAGCCCUGCGUGCACCUUUUACUCUAUGUUGCAAGAGCCCCAAGUCCUCCUUGAAACGCUGAAACCAAGAUGUAAUGCUUGGGGCUACACCUCUAAAGUGCUUAUUAUUUCUUUCUUUCCACAAACUCCAGGCAGCAUUGUAGAACGUUUCGAUGAAGAAAGGAUGGGGCAGAAUGGUUUGUGCAUUCUGCAGCGCCACAAACCUAUUUUGGAAAUCAGGCCAGUCAACACCUAUCCUGGCCCAGCACCUUUCACUAAAUUGGCAAGUGAAGAUCAUAUGCUCAAGAGUCUCCUGAAUGUUUCGCCCGCAAAGGAGGCACGUGAAAUCAUCCCCAAUAUCAUAAUGUCUCCUCCUGAGCAUGUCACGAGUGUUCAACCUGUCUUGCAGCAACAACCAUCCAAAUACCUUGAUUUUCAUUGUACAGUUUGACUUCCAAAGGAGCCUAAAAGAGGGAUGAGUUGUUGCGUCAUGGAAGAAGUUGUUAUAGUAAUCUUUCGGUCUGUAUUCGGUUGCACCCCAAAUGUAGUGCCAAACAUCAGAUAUUGCCAUUGUUGGGUGAAUGUGGGAUGUUGCAUGCUGGACAUCCCGUACCUCAUCAAGAGCACGAGCAGACAGCGGUAGGUGAAAGGUUUCAUGCAGCUCAGCGUUGGCCCAGAAGUCAGCGACCGUUAUGUCCUCAUGCACAGCAAAAGAAAAGGCACGUGGGUGUGAAGAUUGAAGCACAUCAUUGGACCACAAAUCCUUCCAGAGCAGCGUGGUUGAUCCGUCAACCACUUGGACGCGAGUGAUCCCCCUGUAAAUGGGCGUUAGCUUGAGAACGUCUUUCCACCAGAAAGACCCGAUCGAAUCCACCGCAUGAGGCACCUGGUUAGCAUAUUGAUUAUCCCAAAGCAUUGUAACCCAUGGCACGUCCAGUUUGUUAUAGAACUUGUGCAAAAACUUUAGCAGGAGGGCAUCAUUAUGUAUUUGAAUGUUGAUCACUCCCAGCCCGCCCUUACUCUUGGGCUUGCAAACUAGCUCCCAAGCAGCCAGCAAGUUGCAUUUGUCUCCUUGAUCAGUUUUCUUUUUCCAGAGGCAUCUCCUUCGAAUCUUGUCUAGAAUUCCAAUCAGUUUCGGAGGGAACUUGAGCGUGCACAUGGCAAACACCAGGAGCGAUGUGACAGAAGCAUUGAGCCAGGAAAGGCGGCCCCCAUAAGACAUCAUGUCAAUCGUGGCAGUGAGACGACGUUCCAUUUUGCAAACCAGAGGCAUGAAUUCUUGGAUGGUUGGUCUUGUAGUGCCAAGUGGGAGGCCCAGGUAGGUGAGGGGCAUUGUACCUACAUUGCAUCCGAAGAUAGUGGCUAAGCUUGAAGCUGAACUUGCAUCCAUGUUGAUUGGAAUCAACGUUGAUUUGUGGAAAUUAAUUUUGAGGCCGAUCGAGGAUGCGUAGUCAGAAAGGAUUUUUUUGACACGUAUCGCUUGAUGUGGGCAGGAAGGCAAGGCAAGUAAUGUAUCGUCCGCGUAUUGGAUCACCGGGUAGUCAUUUUGCCCAAAGCAGGGAAAAGGCAGGCUGAUAUCUCCACGUCUGAAAGCAUCAUCGAUCGCGCAUUGAAGUAGCUCGGCUGUGAGGACAAAAAUGAGGGGGGAGAGAGGGUCACCUUGCCUCACACCACACUAGGACUGACGAACGACCCAAGGAGAAAAGGCACUUGAUCCAAGAGAUCCACUUGUCAUUGAAACCCAUUUGCUGCAUAAUGCAAAUCAUCGGUUCGUGUGCAAUAGUAUCAAACGCCUUAGCGAAAUCAAGUUUGAGAAGAACGAUUGGCCGGCACGAGCUUUGACAUUGAUGAAGAUAUUGGUAUGCCCACGCCAGGCAAUCCUGUAUCGCGCGUCCUUUAAUGAAUCCAUACUGGUUUCGGUGCACAAGGGAGAUGAUGACACGUUGAAGUCUAUCAGCUAGCAGUUUGGUAAUCAACUUGAGGCAGCAAUUGAGCAGAGUAAUGGGUCAGAAAUCAUUUACAGUCUCCGGAGAGUUGAUCUUAGGUAUGAGCGUGAUGAGACCAUCAUUGAUACUUGUCACGUCUAACGUACCUUCAAAGAACUGGUCGCAAAGGGCAUAGAAGUCAUGCCGAAUAAUGGGCCAGCAAGCUUUCAAGAACGCCCCACUGAACCCGUCCGGGCCAGGUGCUCGGUCAGGCGGUAUAUCUUUGACCACAUUAUCGAUUUCCUCAUGGGUAAAAGGAGUGGUGAGCUGGUCGAGGUUGGUUGCGCGGGGGAUGAUUGUUGGAAUGUCCAAUUUCAUGUCCGAAGGGGAGACAGUCCCUAGGCGAUCUUUGUAGGUUUGAAACAAGAGGGCCUCUUUGGCAGGGUGAUUAUCAACCAACGUGCCAUCUUCAAGCUUGAAGGAGGCGAUGUUGUUUUGGCGAUAACGUUCCGUGGGCAGAGCUUGAAUUUUUUUGGAGUUUUCUUCAAACUUGAUCCAACGAAUAGUACAGCGCUUCUUCCAAUAUAGUUUUUGAUAUUUGAGCAGUCUGAGCAAAUAUGACUUUAAGAUACGUCUGAAGUUCAUUUCUGGGAUUGAAAGGGUUCGUUUAUUCUCCAGCUCAUCUAAAUCCGCAAGGACAGCAUUACAGUUCGUGAUGGCCACAGAAAGACGAGAAAUACUCUUACUCCAGAUCUUGAGGGCGUGUCGAAGAGCUUUGAAUUUGCGACAAAGAAGUGUAGCAGCGUUUGCGGUCCCAACUGGCCGCUCCCAAACAUCCCUAACAAUGUCCAUAAACCCUGGCUGCAAGAUCCAGUAGGAUUCAAAACGAAAGAGCUUUAAUCAUGGUAUUUUCGUCUCGAUAGAGACAACGCAAGGGAUGUGGUCCGAAACAGGCUUGCCAAGGGGUUUAACGAGCGUCUUAGGGUAAACGUUGGUCCAGUGCAAAGACGUGAAGAACCAGUCAAUCUGCUCAAGUAGAGGGUCAAUCUGCUCAAGUAGAGGGUCAAUCUGCAUAUUACUCCAAGUAUAGGUUCUUCCUUUCACCGGGAGCUCAAUUAGUUGCAGCUUACGGAUGAUGUCGUUGAAAGUAAUCAUGUCAUGAAUGUUACCCCCAGGUUUAUUACGAUUGUCUGGUGCUCUCAUGUAGUUAAAGUCGCCUAACAACAACCAGUCUUGAUUACUGGGUAUUUGAAUGUCAUAUAGCCAUUGCGUGAAAGCAUCUCUAUCCGCCCCCGUGCACGGCCUGUACACAUUGACUAACGUCCAACGCUGAGAGGAUUGUGUGCUAACGAAAUCGACAACUAGCGCAUAUGGUUCAGACGAAAUAACGGAGCCAGAGAAAACCAAACUUUUCCAGAUCGUUAGCAGCCCCCCAGAGGCGCCACACGAAGGUACAUAAGCAAAACGAUCAAAUUGUCUAGGACAACAGGUUUUAAUAAAAGCAAAAGUAACCUCAGGCAUCUUAGUCUCCUGAAUGCAAACGACAGCACACCCACUGGUGGAGAUAGCAUUAUUCAGAGCUAAUUGCUUCUUCUUAGAGUUGAGCCCACGGAUAUUCCACGAGAGCACAUUCCAGCAGCUCAACAGUGCGAAAGAGAAACCCCAAGAUUAGGCCAAGUUGUGGGAGAGAUCCUCUCCCUGGUCUUCCAUGUCAGUCAUAGUAGCCGAAGGUUCAGACAUCGCAGCAGGUUCAGCAAGCAGCGCUUCUUCAGAAAGUUCAGUAGCAGGUAUAGCACACCUGUUAACUCCAAUAGAUUGCAGUGUAGCUAUAGGAGUUGGGGGUGGGAUCUCACCAGUGGAGGAAGCAGCAGAAGCAGAAGUGCCAAUAGACGGGAUGACGCGAGGCUUAACUUUUGAAGGAGUCUUGCGAAUGUCAGAGAUAGGAGGGACCCUGAACCCAUCGUAUUUGUUGGAGCGAAGACUGCGGCGCACUUCAGUUGUGGAGAUAGGAGCAGCGGCUCUGGCCCUACGGGAUCGCGGGCCAGUGGCUGCAAGAGGUGCCACAGCCUCAGAGAUCACAGAGGAUUCAGGUGCUGGAAUAUGCGUAACUUGCUCUAUAUCCAUAGUUGCGUCGUCAGUGUUAGGCAGCAAGGCAAGUUCAGUGGUGUUAGCCCUCAUAGUAGGUUCAGAUAGCUCCUCGAUGGUCAGUGAAGAAGAUUCCAGAGCAGGAGCAAAGCUAGAUUGCUGUAAGAAGUUCAUACUAGAAGUGUCCUGUGUGAUCAAAACAGAUAACCGAAUCAGGUUUGUUCUUAAACCAAACCCCUCCCUCCAUGGCCCAAAGGUUGCAAGCAUUGGACUAACAGCUUGGAAAAUGAAGGUGUUGAGAUUCAGGCGAGGGAUUGGGUCAUUCAACAGCCUGGCCAGGAUCUCAUCACCUUGAGCAGAUAAACCAAACAUGAUAGUAUGAUCAGAGAUCUCCAUUGAAAUGGUAAGAGAGUCAGAGCUAGCAUUGUCAGUCAAAUGCGAUGAAGGAUCAGCCAGGAUGAGAAGAUCAAACUGAGUCGAACUCGAACUUCAGAUUGAGUGAUGGAAUCAUUCCAAGCUUCGAGCGCGUUGUCAGUGAUAUUAUUUUCAGGAACUAAGCCAUGUUGUACUGUCAGACCUUGCGCCGCAAGCCAGGCGUGAUAGUUCACCAGAUGUGGUGGCAUUUCUGGGAGAGGAGGAGCAGCGGGUGCAUCCCAAGUGCCCCAACCAGCAUUUGCAUUCACCUGCUGGGCUGCAUUGUUGGUAGCUGCAGGUGCACCAUUUUGAACAAGCCAAUUGUGAACUUGCUGUUGGUAUAGCUGCUCUGUAGUUAACUCAGGGCCGAACAGCGGGUGCGGGUUGCCGUCGGGGGUGGCUGAUCCUCAGGUGCGGCCGGGACGUCGGGGAGAAGGCCAUUCUAGUCGUUACUGCGGAGAAUGGUGACUACGACUGUCCAACUGUCGCGUGCACCACCAAGCUGCCAUACCACAAAGCUCUUGGGGAUGAGUCGCAGACUAAUUACUCUGGCUUUCAGAAGGAUGAAUCUGCGAUCCUGACGAGGAUUAUACCAGGAGACUAAUGAACCGUAUCCACCCAGGCCCUUAGUGAUGUAAUAGUCAGAUUGAUAAUCAUACGGGAAGCCAAAGAAUAUAAUCCAAACUUCAGGCCCAAAUGGUGCAGCGCGGCGGUUGAGAGCGGCAUUGUGCGGAACAGAAGUAAUCAACAGAUCUCCGUCCUCAAGUUCAAGUGGAGUGUUCACGGCAGUAUCUCAUAUAAAGGAAUCCACAAAUCCAAAAAUCCCAACUCCAAGGGGGUGAUCACUGACCUCAGUAGUAAAGAGCUGCGAUUCUUGAAGCAGAGCAUUGAUCUGAAUGCGGACGAAGGCGCGGCGAUGCAGGGGCACAUACGCACUGGCUUCAGCAAUGGCCAAAUACUCAUGGCUGAGGGGGCAAUCGGUCCAAUGACCAUGCCACUGUGCACUAGACGAUCGGCCAGCCCAGGUUCAACGGCGAAGCCCGGCGGGAGGAAAGGCACUGGGUUCAGCGGGUAGUUCGCCAUUGUUGUGGAGUGGAGCGGCGGAGAGGGAGGUGAUGGAGAGAUUGGAUGCGACGGCAAUGGCGCAAGUUGUAGCAGGAUAUCAGACUGUGGUGAUGGGACGGGGCGAGGUGAAGCCCGUUGGGUUCUCGAGGCGGAAGCUAAAGCGUGAAUGGGGGCGGUGGGGGGCAAAUUUGUCUUUACCACCCAUUUCCAUUUCUUUUGGAGAGCAGCUCUGCGACAAGAUGACGCCACGUGGCCAUAGAACCCACAGGCAUUACAUCGGACGGUCCUCGCAGCGGCUUUGGUCGAGCAUUUGGUAGGAAAAGGAUGGCCCAGAGAUCUCGGGGGAAUAAUUGCAGUCUCCUUGUUUGACCCCGGCCAGGAGCGAGUGUCACGGCUGCUACGUUUUGUGCAAUCCCCUGUUUUAUGAUCAGGGCCCGAGCAAUUAAUGCAAAUGAGGCGAGCUUGGCAGGCGAUCCUGCAAUGUCCCCAUUGAAGGCAUCUAGCACAGAGGGCGGCCCAAUUAGUGGCAAGGGAAUGAAUGUCAUUUGCGGAAUAAUCUGCCUGGGCUAAAUCAGCCUUAUGUUUAGCGCUAAGCAUCAGGGGCCACAUGUCAUGGGGUGGGCCGUAGCGGAAAGCGGACUUGAGGAAACUUUGCGGGAGUGGUGGGUAUUGGGCACGCAUGGGGCAUUUGAAUUGCCCAAAAGAAAUACACUCAAUAACUCUAGCGGCCUCAGACUCCGCCUGGGAAAGAUAAUGCUCCAUUAAUGCCAGGCGAUCCGUUGGUAAGGCGGUAAUGCCGCCCUGGAGAGGUGGCAGUGGGAAAGACCCGAAGUGAAUUUGAGUUCGUUCAUGGCGAUCAACCAAUAGAGAAGUGGAGGCCUCAUGAUCAUGCAAAUUGGAAAAGUCCCAAUGCUUCAGAUUAACCAGGUUAAACUUGCUGAGUUCUUUGGCCGACGAAGAAUCUGUUAACUGACCCUUACGUAGAAAAUCCAGAGAAGCAGAUAGGGCCACAGGACGACGAUCAUGGUUCUCAACCAAUUCUUGAUCAGCAUGCCAGUGAGAACCAGAAAAUUGCUUCGCAAAACGACCAUUAAAAAGAUGGAAGUGGCAAACAAAGUCUGGCCAAACACGAUCCUUUAACCCGUAAAUGAAAUGCCCCACCUUGUUGUUAGCCACAGAAAAGCGAAAUGAUCGGGGGGUAAGGGUAACAAUAUUGAAACCAGAGCAAAGUCCCCCAAUGCAACAUUGUAAGGCCAAUCCAACCGAGUCAUUCGUGAGUGGGAAUGAAGCCGAAGAGAAGGAGACGACCAGAAAGAAUUCCUUGGUGUCCCUAGAGGGGAGAAGUGGACCGUAGAGCCAAACUUACGUCUCACCUGAUCAGCCAAGGACAAACCAGGAGCAAAAUCCCAAUGGAGGAGGCCUUCCAUGGUGGUGAUAUCUAGAGAUCGCCAUUGGUGGUGGAAAGCAGGUGGGAGAGAGGAGAGAUGGGAGAGGAGAGGAGCGGUGGGAGAGCCAUCUUCAUGGCCUGCGACUUUUCCCCAAUUGUUGCCCAUUCCGAGAACUUUUAUUUUUGCACAAAAACAACACCAUGGUAGUUCUGCUGAAAACAACGUCAGUCCAGGUUAGUUCUAACCAAAUCAUACCAAAAUCAUGUACAAAUAUUAUAAACAUGGCAUGAAUACAUCAAUAAUUAUAGAUACGUUGGAGACGUAUCAAUAACUAACACUUUCAGCCCCACUAUAACCCACCUACUAUUUGUUGAUGAUAGCUUGUUGUUUCUGGAGGGCUCUCAAGAUAAUUUUGAAACACUAUGUACCAUUCUAAAUGACCAUGAAGCAACAUCGGAGCAAAAGUGAAACAUGCAUAAAUCUUUCAUAUUCUCUGGGCAGUAAAGAGGAGUAUAAAGAAAACCUGAAACAAGUCACUAGUAUUACUUCAGAGGAUCUAGAGCGACAUCUUGGCCUACCAAAAAUGGUCUAUAGAUCCAGGCAGGGUACUUUUAAGCAUGUUGGGUAGCGUGUCAAUGGUAAAGUGGUCGGCUGGAAGGGAUAAUGCCUCUCAAAGAUUGCUCGAGAAGUAUUUUCAAGUUUGUGCUUCAAUUGACACUAACGUACACCAUGAGUUGUUUUCAACUCACAAAGAUAAUGUGGCGGAACCUAUCUUUGGUCUCAUUAAAGUUCUUGUGGGGUGCAGCUAGUGGUGAGAAAAAUGUGCAUUGGAUUGCAUGGGACAAGAUGUCCACUACAAAGCAUGAGGGAGGAUUUGGUUUUGGAGACCCCAAAGUGUUCAAUCAAGCGUUCUUGGCUAAGCAGGCAUGGCAUAUACUACAAGUCCCUUCCCCUUUUGUGUGCUUGUGUAAUGAAAGAUAUAUAUUUUAGGGAGGGUACAAUCAUGAAUGCGAACAUGCCUGGCUUGGGGAUCUUUCACCUUCUAUAGUAUCUCGCAUGGACGUAACUUGUUACAAGAUGGUGUAAUUUCGAGGAUAGGUGGCGAUUCCGAAUCAGAAUUCAUCACGAUAAGUAUAUCACAUGGAAGGGUCGCCUCAAGCUGGGUGAGGACUAUGUUCAUGGUGUUACUCAUGUCAGCAAUCUGCUAACAGCCUGUGGUACUACAUGGAAUAGGAGCAAGGUUGAGUUGAUUUUUUUCCUUAGACAAUGCUAAAGAUAUUAUGCAAAUCGUGAUUGGUGGCCCUGGGCUGGAGAACUACUUGCCGUGGAGUUUCACCAAAAAAAGGACAACUCACUAUUAAAUCUGCAUACCAUUUGCAUAUGACCAAUAAUUGAGUGAAGAUCGGUCGGUCAAAACCUUCCUCGGCGGUGGAUAGCCACAAGGGCUGGAUAGCUUUUUCGGACACUAGUGCACCGAACAAAGCCAAGAUUCGCACCUGGCGUUUGAUACAUGCUUGUUGUUGGUGCCGAGCUUCACCAUUGAUGGAUAAAGGCAGACGUCUUCCAUGCUGCAUGUGGGCGAGAAGAGAUAAUAUAUCACAUAUUUUGGGCAUGCCCUCAUUCGAUGAUGUUCUGAAAAUUUUUGUGCUCAGAAAAGGGAGCUCUGGUGGUGAUCCCACCGAUAUCGGCGUGCUCCUAGAGUACCUUAUCUAGCUAGAUUUUGACAUGCUUAUCAAAAGCUUUUUAAGAGGAACGAUCGAUGAAGAUUCAGGGGCCAUGUGCUAUAUGGUAGGCAAGAUGACACGAAGGAAGGUAAAAGAUUGCAGACGCACAUGUUAUAGCAAACUCUGUAGCUAGCUAUAUGGAAGAGUGGCAAGCUAUGCAAGAAACAAGAUCACGAGUUGCGACUCCAUUGAUGGCUAAGCGAUAGCUCUCGCCGGAACCCGACCGAGUGAAGGCGAACAGACGGGCGAUCUUGAAGUUUGGGAAGGAAGGGGCGGUGAAGUGUUUCUUAGGUAUUGAUGGCGUGUUUAGAGGGGGUGCAUGCUCUUCUCGACAACCUCCAACCUAGAGCUUGUUGAAAUCCUUGUGCCUCAGCAGGCAGUCCAGCCGGUUGUGUAGACGAAAGUGCAAAAUUGCACAUUGAGCUUGACUGCAAGGUCGCUGGGAGCAUGUUGAAUGAUACCGGAAAGAAUUUAUUUGCUGUAGGGCCGGUGAUAGAAGAAAUCAAUGCACUGGUACGAGCUCGUCUGGAUUAUAGGGUUAGUUGGGUUGGUCGCUCCGCCAAUGCUGCGCCUCAUGCGCUAGCAAAGGAGCGAGGGAGUUAAUAAUAAACUAUGUAAGCUCUCGUUCCACAUUCUAGCAAAGUAUGUUACCUUAAAAAACAUAUAUAAAACACAUGCUCCACAUACAAAAAUAUGGAUGUAUUUUUAUUACGUUAUCAGAUUCAUUUGGAAAGAAAAAACUCCGCCGUCCCUAAAUAUAAGAUCAUUUAAAUGGCCAAAAUGGUCUUAUAUUUUGGGACGAAGGGAGUAUGUAUUCUAAAAUUAGGUUUGAGUAGGUAGUACUCCCUCUGUACACUAAUAUAAGAGCGUUUAGAUCACUACUUUAGUAUUCUAAACGCUUUUAUAUUAGUUUACGGAGGGAGUAACCAUCUGAUAUUUUUUCUUUUAAGUAUGGAUGAACCGGAGUUUUUACUGUUUUUACAUCCGCUUGACACAAAUGUAUAAAGCGUGCCGUAAAAUAAUUCCUAGUUAUUCUUAUUUAUUUUUAUUUGAUGCUGUCAUCAGUUUUUUUAAAAGAAUUACUGGAAAAUGGGGCAGAUAUUAAAACGCAUUAAACAGCCCCAUGGGCAAUCAAAAGCAUCAAACAGCCACACCCCACUCUCUGCUACAGUCUACAGUCUCUAGUCUAGUUCCUGCUGCUACUACCACUACCACCACACCACCACCACACCACACUUGCUCGUCUCCCUCUGCCCCUCCCCUUCCUCCUAUAGCAAUCAAACCACCAGCUCCACUCCCCCCUCCCCUUCCUCCGUCCUCACCCUCCCCCUCCUGCUACUCCCCAGUUCAUGUCCUGCUGCUUCCCAUGUCGCCGCCUCUCGAGCUCGACUACAUAGGCCUCUCGGCCGCCGCCGGCGGCCGCCCGGACGACGACCUGAAAGGCACCGAGCUCCGCCUCGGACUUCCCGGCUGCGAGUCGCCCGACCGCCGCCCGGUCGCCGCCACCACCACACUGGAGCUGCUGCCCGCCAAGGGGGCCAAGCGAGGGUUUUCGGACGAGGUCGUGCCGCCUGCGCCGAUUUCCGCCGCCGGGAAAGGCAAGGAGGCGUCCGGGGAUGAGAAGGACAAGAAGGUCGCCGCCCCGCCGCAGCCUGCUGCCAAGUAGGCGCCUAUCCCCCCUGCGAAUUUUGUGGAUUUGACUGUUUCAUGGUGUUCUGCCGAGUUUUGCGGGAUGCAGUGGGUUGGAGCGCGAAUGAGUGGAGGAAGUGAUGCGUAAAAUUUUGGGAAAAAUAUGUGGUGGGUUAGUACGAGACGGUGAUUUAGUUUGCUUGGAACCUCCGAAAAGCUGUAAUUUGGUAGCUGUUGCAUGCAUUUGAGUGAAUUCCGUCUGUCGAGGGGAAAAACCCUCUUUUUUGGGUGCGAAUUUGGUGCCGAAGGGCCCAUUUUGCGGUUCUUCCGUUGCUGUUUGCGGGCGCGCGUUUUGCACUCGGCUUGAUCUAUUAGGUUCAGGAGUUUGGAGGGGCAGAAAUUUAUUCACUGCAGAGUCUUUUUGCAAUUUCGCUGUGAAUUUNNNNNNNNNNNNNNNNNNNNNNNNNNNNNNNNNNNNNNNNNNNNNNNNNNNNNNNNNNNNNNNNNNNNNNNNNNNNNNNNNNNNNNNNNNNNNNNNNNNNNNNNNNNNNNNNNNNNNNNNNNNNNNNNNNNNNNNNNNNNNNNNNNNNNNNNNNNNNNNNNNNNNNNNNNNNNNNNNNNNNNNNNNNNNNNNNNNNNNNNNNNNNNNNNNNNNNNNNNNNNNNNNNNNNNNNNNNNNNNNNNNNNNNNNNNNNNNNNNNNNNNNNNNNNNNNNNNNNNNNNNNNNNNNNNNNNNNNNNNNNNNNNNNNNNNNNNNNNNNNNNNNNNNNNNNNNNNNNNNNNNNNNNNNNNNNNNNNNNNNNNNNNNNNNNNNNNNNNNNNNNNNNNNNNNNNNNNNNNNNNNNNNNNNNNNNNNNNNNNNNNNNNNNNNNNNNNNNNNNNNNNNNNNNNNNNNNNNNNNNNNNNNNNNNNNNNNNNNGUGUGAUUUUGUUCUUUGAAAUUUCAUUGGGAAACUAAGGAGGGCAUCACAUCUGCAAAUUUGUGCACUUGGUUUGAAUUGGACUAGUCAAUUUGGGUCUACCUUUACUUUCAAGGUUUACCAAGUUUGUAAUGCUUUGAGUUGUUUUCUAGGGUAUGUUUGGUUUGAACAUACCUGGUUGCUUUUAACUCGCGUUCAUAACUUCAUAUAGCCAAACGAAAUGCUGGGUCGGCUUCAUUGCCGGUUCUUACUCUGAAUUGCCGAUGCGCAGGGCUCAGGUGGUGGGAUGGCCACCAGUCCGCAGCUACCGCAAGAACACGAUGGCAACCACCACCAACCAGCUGAAGAGCAGCAAGGAGGAUUCUGACACGAAGCAGGGGCAAGAGUUUCUGUAUGUCAAGGUCAGCAUGGAUGGUGCGCCUUACCUGAGGAAGGUUGACCUCAAGACAUACAAGAACUAUAAGGACAUGGUUGUGGCGCUAGGGAAAAUGUUCAUUGGCUUCAGGACCGGUGAGGCUGCUUGGAUCCUUGGCAAAUUGUUGCUGUUUUAAUCUGCACCUGCAUUUGAAUUGGGGUAGAAGAAAUGCAUCGUUGCACACAUCUUGUUUCGCUGAAGAAAUAACCAAUUACUCUGUUUGGAAAUGUUCUACUCCCUCCGAUCCAAAUUAAUUGACGCAGCUUUAGUACACUUUACUAAAGCUGCGGCCAUUAAUUUGGAUCGGAGGGAAUAGCAAAUUCCAGGUUUAUGAAAUUGACGAAGAAGACUCUUUUUCAGGGCCGGCUAAAUUGGUUAUUGUGGUGUAACCAGUUUCGAGGCUUCGCAUCUAAAUUUGGCCAUGCUAUUUGUGUGCAUAUUUGUUUUGCUAGAUACCUAGUUUCAGCAUAUAUUAUUACCGGUGGAGCAAAUAUUCUAUUCUAAUUCAAGGAACUUUUAUUGUGUUUAAUAUUGUUUGAUGAAGCAACCAGCAGUGUAGAUUGGACUAUGUCAUAAAAUGCCUAAUGUUUAGGCUAGCAUUCGCUAAGGGUCUGUAAAUAACUAAAUAUCACUCAAUUAUUCAUAAGCCUUUGAUAAACAGCAAUUUCCCUAUAACCUCUUCAUACCCAUUUUGUGCUUCAAGGUCAGACAUCAAACCUACUAUUUUAAGAACGUAAAUUGCAGAAAGGCGUAUAUCUAGGGACAUAAAAUUUACCAACAUACAAUGCUUUGUUGAGAAAUUCAGUGUAAGGUGGUCCUUUCUCCGGCAGUUUUAACCUUACAUGUGGUACUGAGUCUAAUUCUGUACCAGGGAAGGAUGGUGCAUCUGAGAACAGAAAGGAUGGUGAAUAUGUGAUGACUUACGAAGACAAGGAUGGAGACUGGAUGCUGGUUGGUGACGUCCCAUGGGAGUAAGUACAUAGUCUGAUCUAAUUGGAAUAACAACAAGCGUAGAAAUGAGAACUUUGAAUGAUAGUUUGGGUUCUGUAGUAUAACUUUUGAAGGACGAUAAAAAAUGAUAGUGUGCCAAAUAAAUGUUUUUUACUAGUUUACUGUGUAUACAUACAAGCACCCAGAUAAAAUGAACUCGUUCUGUACAGCAGCCAUGAUUAGAGUAUCUCUCAAGUCCAUAUAACCUGUUCUAAUAUUUUAUAGAAUGCAUGCAGUCAACCUCUUCAAACUCUGACACAGAUAUACUAAAAUUUUAUUUUAUUUUCACCUAAAUUGUGCCAUUAGUUUUUAAAAGCUUUGCUAUUAGGAAAAUCAGUGGUCUAAGCAAUUUAUUGGAGAUAGCAUUGACGCCAAAAGAACCAGUAAAAAGGAACGGACCUAGUAGUCCAGUACUAGUCACUUUGGUUAUCUUUUUAUUAUGUUGUAAUUGCUCUAAAUUCUAUGGUCCUGGUGUUCUAUUGCUGCAUGUAGCAUCUCAUGUCUGAACAAGUAAAAGGGUUCUAAUGCAGUCACUAACUCACUGUAGUUGUUCUUGUGGCACGUUAAUUGUUACAAUUCCGUUGUCAAGAAAACCAUGAAUAUCUGGUGCAUACCUGAUACCUCCCCUAUGAGCUUAUCAAGUGAUUGCUUCUUAUUCGUAAUUGCAGGAUGUUCACCGAGGCUUGCCGGAGGAUCAGGGUCAUGAAAAGUUCAGAUGUAGUUGGGCUUGGUAUGUCCAAUAGUGUUCCGUUUAGUAUAUACAUUUUUGUUUUAAUUUCACUGAUGGCUUCUGCAGUUAUUUUAUUUAACCAUUUGUCUGCAUCGUGUUACUGCUUUACUGCUCAAGCUGUUUCUCAGGCUUGCUUAAUUAUUUGAACUGCACUUGAGCGGGAAAGCGGGUUACUCUUGAAAAGACUCAUUGUACUUGAAAGCUUGUUUAGUUGGAGCUUAAAUAUCUUUACGGACCCAGCAUUAAAUUGAGUGUUAGUUUGCUUUUAUUUCUUUAAUUAGAAUAUACUCCCCAUUCCAACUCCCUGUUGUACUCUAGAUAAGUAAGAAGCCUUGUGAGUUUUGGAAGUGUUUGGAUAUAACCCAUUCCUGGUCUCUAGAGUUUAGAGAAUCACAAUUGUUUCCGUAAUGUCAUUUGAAGAACAGAAUGUUGUGCUGGUAGUUUUAAUCAAACCCUAGUUUGUCUGAGGGACACAGCAUUAAAUUUGCGUUUUCCAGCUCUGACCAUAAACAAUUGGAGUCUGGAUUUGGUUGAGCCAAGAAAUUCCUGGAAACCUAGUUAACAAGAAAAAAGAGCUAGUAUUAUGGAUCAGAGAAUUAUAACAGGUUGACCUUGAUUUGCACAUUUCUUUUCCAAUAACUAUAUAUAAUUUACAAAUCAGAGUUAAAAACACAUGCUGUGUUUGUUGAUAUAUUUUGACGAUUAAAGGCUCAAGCCUCGCAAAAGUUCUUUAUGUACCUUGUCUCUAUGUAUGCUUUUGUUUUGCUACUUUGGAAUGUUUCUCCAACAAUGUAAGGUUGAAGUUCACUUGGGGUAACCUGCACCAUCCUACGUCAAGUACAUUUCAUAAUUCUACCUUGACAGUAUGAUGUCCGAACUGACUGUAUCUCUUCUUUUUCCAGGAGUUACAAGGGCAGGGGUUAAGUCCAAGAAUAAGAACUAAAACGGUCGCUGCCCACGGUUUGAAGACGAGGUCGCACAUGCCGUCUGUACUACUGCAUGGUUUUCCUAUCCCACAAGUAAAAUCACCCGUUACUCUACCGUUUAAGAUUUGCGACAUCUCCUAGAGACUUAUGCUCUAUAUUUUGUUGUGCCCACGUUGUUGUACGCGUGUUAUUUCCAUCCGUGUAAAUGGUUGGUAAGCAGUGCGAGAGCUACUGCUGUGUUUGAUGACUCCUAUGUAUUUUGCCACUCUUGUCCUGAACCGGUCGUUCGUCGUAAAUGUGAAGGUUGCAAGACUAUUAUUUACCUGACGAACUCUGGUUCGGCACACCCCCUCCUAGAAAAGUUUACAGAUUUCGACACAGAUUAGAAUUUACCCGUUCGAUUAAAAAAAAGGGCGACAUGGUCUUUUGUGUCCAAAUCAAUCUAUUCAAUACGUUUGAUCUGCAGCUGCAGGCUAACAUGGCGGCAGUCUUUUUAAGUAACUUCAAAGAUCAGUAUAAACUUUUUAAGGGGGGCGUACCGAAGGGAAGCAAAACUCAUGGCUUGUUCCAAUUUGUUAUGCUGUUUGCGGAUCAGUGGGCUGUUGCUUUGCUAUCCAUUUCUUCUGAAACAUAGGCAAUUGCAUGGUGAAACAUCUCAUCUAUUCUUUGCGAGCAGCUGUGUAGCUGUUGCCGGGUGGGGACAUGUACCACUGCACACGCCAUUAUCUUUUGAAGCCGUUCAUCAUGGUUGUCCCAUAGAGUAGCAGUAGUAGUGCUGUAGCCUAAAAGGCUUCCUAACACCAUCAUUCAGGUAGUAUAAAAUGCAACGGCUAUGGGGGUUAAUGAUGGCUUAUCAUCCCUUAGAAUCAGGCUUUCCAUUGCCGGCCAGUAUCUUCUUCCUCCCACCUACGUAUAGUAGAAAGUAGAAACGAUGCUCCACUUUGGCCUCCUUUCCUGUUGUUUCCUAUUCCUCCUUUCGCCUUGCAUAUCCGCUGGUUGGUUGGUGUGCAUGUGAGGCAGCGGCGGAAUCAGGAUCCAACACUUCUGAUCGCUGGGCCCUGUCCUAGUUUAUCCCGGAAGACGAAUGAAUCGGCGUUCGCAUGCACUUGCUUGCCUGUGCCAGGUGGCUGUUUUCCAGGACAACUGUGGAGUACGUGAUUCUGCUUUGAUGCUGAUCAGGCUGGAAACCGGUUAACUAACGGAAAACCGGUAGCACGUUGACGUCAUCAUCAUCGCUUCUCCUUGAGAACCAUCAUCGCCUUCCCUUCUCUCUGAGCGAGCGAGGGAGCGACUCCGCCUUCCCUGCAGACGAUCACCGACGCAACCCAACCCGUAGUGGAAGUGCGAAGCCACAUGGAGAUCAAUGCCAAUCACUCAGCCACCGGCGACAGGGACGACGCAGCUCCGAUUUUGGCCGAGAGCUACGAAGGAGACCUAUGCAAGGCCGACGCUGCGGAAGAUCACUGAACAGACUUUCCCCGAGUGUGUCCUCAGUUCAGAGAAUCCAUUCAGCCAGCACAACCACUUGUCGCAUCUUCUUCAGGUCCAUGCUACAGCUCACACAUACCUCUCGGCAGGCAAAUGCAAGCAAGCCGACCUAGCUCAGUGGUAGAGCGCGUGGCUUUUAACCACGUGGCCGUGGGUUCGAUCCCCACGGUCGGCGAUUUGUAAUUCUUUUUUAUUGAAAUUUGUUUUUUGAUUUGUUCAUUUUUUGUUCGGGUAGGACCACUGCCUGGUACUAGUAUGAUUUGGAAUCCUUUGGUGAAAGAUCCCCACGGUCGGCGAUAUUUUCUCCCUUUUCCGACUUGUUAUUAUUUUUCGGGUAGUAGUGCAAUAGGAUCUGGAAUCCUUUGGCGUGAAAGGUCCCUUUGUUCCUCCGUGGUCCUGCCCUGCCACUGUGCUUGUGUACGAGUAUGCGCUAGCUAGCAUUUUACUACCAUCCUAGAUCAACCUUUAAUCUUUUUCGUGCCUGAUAAAGUUAGCUUAGUUUGCUAGUAACGCAAUGCCAGCGAAGUGCCGUGUUCCUUUUGUUACGCCACCAUUCAUUAAGAUUUCUUGCACCGCAUCUUUGUUAUACUGUAGGAGUACAUAAUACUGCAUGGCCAGGUCUGUGAUCCCCGAGCUCAUGCUCUGGAAAUGGUUAGGUUAUCCCUACAUGGGGUGGUACGAAAUGGGGAUCGAUCACCGGACCGGACAGACGCAUUUGACACUUGCUUUGGGUCCACCGCCGCGAUUGACGUCUGUAAAAUUUGUCCACGGCGCGCAUGCACUCUGAACCCAGAGGCAAGCGCGUGGUGCCCCCUGCUCCGACGCAGUGUCGGAGCCCAGGUGCCGCGCUGUCGCCUCCAGCACGAGCGCGGGAGGGCCGAGGGCCAGGGCAUGCCUGUCUCGCCAUGAGUUGCUUUUCGCAGGCACACUAGUAGUUCGUGUAGACGCACCCUUGUCUCGGUUUCCAACGACCCUGCGGUUGCUUUGCUCGCGCCGUUUUAGGCUGCUCAUAAUGGGAGUAACAUAGGUAGUAACUUAGAUGCCACAUAAGCAAAAAUGAUGAGGUGGCAAGUAGUUAAUGAGGAGAGAGGCAAAUAGAGUAACAUAAUAUGUUACCAUCACAUAGUGCUUUCCAAUGCAAAAUGAGUCUACAAAAAAUUAAAUGAAGACAUCUAUGUUACCACAUAUAUGAUACUACCCACUAUGAAGGUAGUAACAUAGACUAGUAACAUAUGCAUGUUACUAGUGUAAGUUACUCUCCACUAUGACCAGCCUUAGUACCGUGCAGCAUCGUGCGCAGCCGCGCACGCACAAGGACGUGCGUGGUUCGGGGACCCAGGAUCUCUCGCGGUCUUAGAGCGAUCUACAGCCGGACUUUCGCAAAUCCCACACCUUAAACGUCUGCGGACACCGACCAGCCAUCUCUCAAAAAACGAAUUCCACACCGGACACCUCAAAUUAGAAAUCUCAAAUCCAUAUUAUUACAUGCAAUGUGUAACCUAAUCUACGCGGAGCUCGUCCGGUUCCGCUCCCCGGCUACGUCAUGUCUGGCGGCCGGCUGUGCUCCUCAGAGUGUUGGGUUGGUCGCCGGCAAGGUAGGGUAGGAAAUGUGACACGAGUUGGCUCACGGGACUCAAGGCCCCGCUGUCUCCCAUGCCCUACUCUUCCUCGUCGGAGAUCGGAACCCGAACGGUGCCGGUGGACGUCAGAUCGAUGGUGGAUCCGUCCGGGGACGAGCCGCCGACGUACACCACGAUGUGGUUGCGGCGCCUGGACUGAUGCGCCAUACGGGGCGCCAGAGAAUGCGACUCCGCCUCACCGUCCGCCGCCACGAGGACUGAUGCGCCAUACGGGGCACCGCAUCUUUGUUAUACUGUAGGAGUACAUAAUACUGCAUGGCCAGGUCUGUGAUCCCCGAGCUCAUGCUCUGGAAAUGGUUAGGUUAUCCCUACAUGGGGUGGUACGAAAUGGGGAUCGAUCACCGGACCGGACAGACGCAUUUGACACUUGCUUUGGGUCCACCGCCGCGAUUGACGUCUGUAAAAUUUGUCCACGGCGCGCAUGCACUCUGAACCCAGAGGCAAGCGCGUGGUGCCCCCUGCUCCGACGCAGUGUCGGAGCCCAGGUGCCGCGCUGUCGCCUCCAGCACGAGCGCGGGAGGGCCGAGGGCCAGGGCAUGCCUGUCUCGCCAUGAGUUGCUUUUCGCAGGCACACUAGUAGUUCGUGUAGACGCACCCUUGUCUCGGUUUCCAACGACCCUGCGGUUGCUUUGCUCGCGCCGUUUUAGGCUGCUCAUAAUGGGAGUAACAUAGGUAGUAACUUAGAUGCCACAUAAGCAAAAAUGAUGAGGUGGCAAGUAGUUAAUGAGGAGAGAGGCAAAUAGAGUAACAUAAUAUGUUACCAUCACAUAGUGCUUUCCAAUGCAAAAUGAGUCUACAAAAAAUUAAAUGAAGACAUCUAUGUUACCACAUAUAUGAUACUACCCACUAUGAAGGUAGUAACAUAGACUAGUAACAUAUGCAUGUUACUAGUGUAAGUUACUCUCCACUAUGACCAGCCUUAGUACCGUGCAGCAUCGUGCGCAGCCGCGCACGCACAAGGACGUGCGUGGUUCGGGGACCCAGGAUCUCUCGCGGUCUUAGAGCGAUCUACAGCCGGACUUUCGCAAAUCCCACACCUUAAACGUCUGCGGACACCGACCAGCCAUCUCUCAAAAAACGAAUUCCACACCGGACACCUCAAAUUAGAAAUCUCAAAUCCAUAUUAUUACAUGCAAUGUGUAACCUAAUCUACGCGGAGCUCGUCCGGUUCCGCUCCCCGGCUACGUCAUGUCUGGCGGCCGGCUGUGCUCCUCAGAGUGUUGGGUUGGUCGCCGGCAAGGUAGGGUAGGAAAUGUGACACGAGUUGGCUCACGGGACUCAAGGCCCCGCUGUCUCCCAUGCCCUACUCUUCCUCGUCGGAGAUCGGAACCCGAACGGUGCCGGUGGACGUCAGAUCGAUGGUGGAUCCGUCCGGGGACGAGCCGCCGACGUACACCACGAUGUGGUUGCGGCGCCUGGACUGAUGCGCCAUACGGGGCGCCAGAGAAUGCGACUCCGCCUCACCGUCCGCCGCCACGAGGGCUGCCGCCGCCUCCCGCGAUCGGUGCCUUGCAUGGCGGGCACGCCGUGCCACGGUCUCGUCGGACGAGGCCCAUGGUGCGUCCCGAUGCUCGGCGUGCCACUGGAGGGGUUGCGCGUCCGCCAGCACCUUCGGACGCCAGACGGACUACACGGCCUCCGAGGAGGCAGCUAUGGCCGGCCUAGCGCCGGAUCUAUGCCCCAUUUGGGCGGACGCAAUGGAUUCCCGACUCAUAGAGUCUGAGCGCAGCCGUCCAUGGGCCUCCUCCCGGGAGUGGCGGAGCGCAAGCCGGACGACCAUCUCCUCCUCGGAGGCUCGCGGAAUGAGCUCGGGGUCGACGGAUCCGAAGAUGAAGGACUCGGAUCCACUUCCUGCCAUGUUGGAGAAGGCCGGAAGGAGCCGAAGAGGAGCUUGGAUGGCGGAGGGGGAGUGGAGGGGAGGGGAGUGAAGUGGCUAGGGUCUAGGGUUUAGUCCGGCGAGCGGAUGGGAAGGAAUUUAUGUGUGGUCGGGUGGGCCAGCACGGAACGGGUCCGAUGUGGCGGGCGGGCGUGCCCAGGCGCCCCCAUAUUCACCCCAUAUUUGGGCUGGAUAUGAGGGGUGCCGGUCAGCCCAGGCGUUUGAGGGGGCCGCCUGGGUCAAAAAAUUAUGACCGGACAGUGAGCGGGCGGCCCUUCUAGACGUAUUAGACGGGUUUGAAGGGUCCAAUUAUAGAUGCUCUUACUAUCGGUCAGGAUUGAAAUCAGAUUAUCUUGCAGGGGGGCUGCAUGCAAAGCUGGGAGCAGAAUGCACUCAUUGUCACUUACUUCCUAAAAAAAAUAUAAGAGCAUUUAGAUCAAACACUCUUAUAACUUUUUUACAGAGAAGUAUUAACCAGAUAACCUGGAUAUGACAUUGACAUCCGCACCGUAGACUUGGGGCACCUUCUCAUUCUACCAGCAAAAGACAGAUCAGCAACAUACGACUUUAUACACGACAGAUUCAAAUCCAAGCUCACUGCUUACAUAGCCAACAUGCUUUCUCAUGCAACAAGAUUAACUCUUAUUAAGGCCACGUUCGGCUUCUCUCCACUCCCUGGACCGCGCUCCUGGAGCGGACCAGUCUGCAACUAAUUUUCAGGAGCGGGUAAAACCGAGCUCUGCAGCUCCACAGAGGGAUUCCGAACAGGGCUUAAAUCUAUCUUUUCCUCGAUCCAUGUCUACUAUAUGUCAAAUAUCCUCUUUUCAAAGAAGUUCUUAGCAAAACUCACAACUAUCAUUAGAAACUUUUGAUGGACAGCGUGAAAGAAGAACUAUCUACAAAGACACUAUGCUUAAGGGCAUGGGCAGACAUUUGCAUGGAAAAAAGGAUUGGUGGUUUAGGUAUUAGGAACUUGCAGGCUAUUAACCAGGGCGGCCUAGAGAUUAGCAAAGGAACCCUAGAGUCAUCUUGCUCUAAUUCUUAAAUCAAAGUACCACAUCAACACAUUCUAUUGGAGGGAGAAUCGAAACAAAUCAAAGUCUGCCUUCUCGUUGGGAAUUCUCAAGGUAAGACCACUGCCAAUGUCAGCCUCUUUUUACCAAAUUGUUGAUGUCAGCAGCUCCAUUUGGAGUUCACCAUGGUUCUCUCAAUGGCAAACUAUUUAUGAUAAUUUGAUCAUUCAACAGCCUCGUUAUGUUUACCCGGCUAUAGUUAAGGACCUUUGGGCUCCCAAUUAGAAAACUUCGAAUGUUCACUGCAAACCCUACCAUUAAUGCUCCUAGACAGGACGGUCUGGUUUGGAAACUAAGCCCUGCAGGUGCUUUCUCUUCAAAAAGUGCAUAUAACGGACGCGAAUUUUGGGGACAUGGUUCCAUGCGAUGCCGUUAUCUCAGCCGUCUGCGUUUGCAUCUAGAUUACUAAUUAAUAUAGUGUUUGCUGCAAUACAAACAGUGUUGCUUAAUAAUGCACUGGAAUACGCUUUUCUUUACCGGGCAGGAGUGGGCCUCAAAGCUUUAAAUUCAUAUGCAUACUACUUUGUCCUUUAGUCAAUCGGUAAUAUUUGCUGGGUGCAUUGAUGACCUGCCCACUCAUUUACAAUCGUCUACGCGGACAAUUAAACAAAUGUCGGCAACAUGUGAGAGAUUUAUGGUGCUUGGCUUGUGCGAGGCACGCUAAUUUGUAUGGUUCCUGCAGUUUUGCAUCUUAAUCAUGUGGUAAGCACAACAAUUGAGACAAAAAUGAAUUAAUUUCUAGUGCUGAUUGUAUAUCAGCAGAACAACAUCAAAAUGGAUUGUUGAGUGAUAAGCAUAACAUGAUACGGAUUGUGCGAUAGGUGAGGACGCACCACAUACUGGAAGAUACAUGGGCAAAUGUGGAUAAAAAAGUAAGAAAAAUAGCUAUUGGGGGGCUCUGAUUAUUUGUUCUAAGUGGACUAGUCUAAUUUUAUGUAGUGCACAUAUUUUUGAAAAUUAAAAUGUUGGAUUCCUGAAAUCUUAAAUUAUUUGUUGGAAUUUAGGAACAUUGUAUUUUAGUUGCAAUUUAGGAAUAUUAAUCAUGUUUGUGCACAUGCCUAGCUAACCUGACAUGGAGAUAGACCUAAGCUGAUCUCGCAUAGUUAAAAGUUCACACUAAUUCAUCCAAAAAAGAAAAAUAGUUAUUGGUGCUCUGAUUAUUUGUUCUAGGUGGACUAGUUUAAUCUUAUGCAGUGGUCAUAUUUUUCAAAAUUUAAAUCUUGGAUUCCUGAAAUUUUAAAUCAUUUACUGCAAUUUAGGAACAUUUUUUAGUUGCAAUUUAGGAAUAUUAAUCAUGUGUAUGCACAUGCCUGACCUGACAUGGAGAUAGAGCAAACCUUAUCUAGCAUAGUUAAAAGUUUACACUAAUUAUUCUAAAAAGGAAAAUAGCUAUUUGGGGCUCUGAUUAUUUGUUCUAGGUGAACUAGUUUAAUUUUAUGCUGUGGGUAUAUAUUUAAAAAUUAAAAUCAUGGAUUCCUGAUUUUUCAAAAUAUUAACUGCAAUUUAGGAACAAUUUUUAGUUGCAAAUUAGAAACAUUAAUCAUGUGUACGCACAUGCCUGACCUGACAUGGAGAUAGACCUAAGCUGAUCUAGCAUAGUUAACAGUUCAAACUAAUUCAUCUAAAAAAAGUUCAGACCAAUUAGCAAACUACACAUUUUCGUUGCAACUGUAGAGGGUGGUGCACUAGUAAUAUGUAGUGGAGCAGCACACAUUAAGACGUGGUGCAUUAAUCCUCACCUGUGCCUAGUAAAUGUGAUGACACUAAAAUACCUCACUUUCCAACUUCAACAAUGCUGGAUGGAGAGAGAUGAUGGUGCAGGCUUCAAAUGCAGUUAACGUUCCCAACCUGUGCCUAGUAAAUGAGUUGGGUCAUGUUUGUCAAGCAUGUGGCCCCUUAUGCAUUGAUUGUUUUGUGGAAUACAGAUUCAAUACUGCAAGGAGGAAUAUUCAAUAUACGUGAUAUGCACCGCUUAUGGUAUGAAUACGAUACAAAUCUGCGAGAAAUGGAUGGUGAGAUAAAGACCUCGCGUGGCGCCAUGUUCACCUAUGCAUUUUCGAUAUAAACAUUGCUUUAAUAAUCUAGCUUCUUCGUCGAGCUAUUCGAACUGGUAAGCAUGCAAGUAAGUUUUCCAAACAUAUUAGUGAAAAUUGUGCAAGAUGUGGCGACUUAGAGGAUGAAAUGCACAUUCUUUUUCUUUGCCCUUUCUCAAAAGCUACUUGGUUUUUCUCUCCUUGGUAUAUUAAAACUGAGGUACUUGCUGAAGAUAAUAAUUCAAUUUUACAAAUGUUAAAGGCUUUGCUGGAUUUUGCUCAUCCUCAUAUUAAUAUAACCAGCCUGUACACUUUUUUGUGGUGCAUUUGGAAGGCAAGAAAUGAUGCUUUGUUUGGUAGAAAGUUUUGCAAGCCAUCGCAGGUAUAUCUGGCGGCUAAUGGGAUCAUGCAAGGCUCAAAGCUAGAAGAGAUGAUGGCAUCCCAAGAUCAGCACACAGCAACCCCUGAUAUUCAGCAGCUAAUAAUCCAGCAAGAACCACCCUUGGUUGCAGGUCCAUGAAUUUCUUGUGAUACAACCUGGAAAAAUGAAGAAACUAUGAAAUCAUCUCCUGCAGGCAUUGGUGUCAUUAUCCAACCUGAAGACAAUGAACAUUGUCAAUAGCGACAUGUUUCGGCUCUUUCUCCUUCGGUGUCAUCUCCUCUCCAUGCGGAAGCAUAUGGACUUCUCCAAGCCACGAAGCUAGCAAAUACUCUCCACACUACUACAUAGGUAGCUCCGCUCUGGCAUCGGCAUCAGCUGCGCCUUCCAUCUUCAAAGAGGUAGGACACUAGAAGAUAAGGACCAUUCUUGGGAUGCGGAGUAUUUGCUCCCGAGCUCAAAUGCUCCUUGAUGAACAAUAAAAUUGGAAAAAAUAGUAAACAAAUUCAAAAAAAAAUCUGAUUUGUUUGUGAUAUUGCCAAAUGUUUUGUAUGCUUGCAAAAUUUCAGCACGAAAUAACAUUCUUGGAGGUCAUAAAAAAACAAAAUUGAUGUUCCAAAAAUGCUAGUUUGGAAAGCAUUUUGGAGUGUUGAUUUUUUUCCCGUCUUCCAUGAAUGUCAUUUCGUGCUAAAAUUUUGCAAGCAUACAGAACAUUUGUCAAAGUUUACCACAAAAAUAUUCAGAUUCUGUACUACUUUUUCCGAUUUACUGUUUAUCAGGGAGCGUUUAAGCUCGGGAUUAGAAUAUGACUUUCGCCAUUCUUGCUACUCUAUAGGCGUCCCAUAUUUCCUUAGCAACAGUGUGGCACACAUCAAUAGGCAUUUUAAUGUAAAAACACAUCAUCAAGCAAAGUUAGCGAUCAAAAUUCAAAAUAGGCCUACAACUUUUAGGUGUCUCUCUUCAGAAGCAGGUCCUUGUAUUGCAGGGAUGCUCUCGCCAUGUCAAGUGUGAUGCCUUUCACACUACUCUUUGUAAAGUGCAGCUAACGAAAUAAAAUAAUUUAAUUGUUCAAAAAGAAAAACAAGAUAUAGCGGCCUAGACUAGAAACAGCGAUAUGCGGAUGAUAUAGAGCACACAUUCAAGGGUUAUCCUCCAAAUCUUCAUAGCAGAACCUGUCAGCAGAUGCAACCACCGUCGACCUCCGGGCAAGACGUGAACUUGUCAACAUUUCAAAAAAGGUUGUCAAAAUUUCAAAAUUGUUCUUGAUUUAAAAAUUUCUUCAUAAUUUUAAAAAUGAUUCUGUUUAAGAUAAUGUUCUCAUUUUUAAAAAUAUUUGCAAUUUUAAAACUUGUUCCAAAUUUUAAAAAAUUAUCACACUUAAAAUUUUGCAAGUUAAAAAAAAGAUCACAAAAUUCCAAAAAUGGUUCGCUUUCUAAGAGACUAUUAAUUUUUUAAUUUUUGUGUGUGUUUGUCUUAAAGAUAAACAAAAGACCAACGGAGAACAUAAACCCUGCUAUGAAAGAAAAACAACAUAGUGACCGAGUCGCGACGGUACCUUGUCCUUACAAGAAGUAAUCACUACAGUUCCAUGAAAGUGGGUUGACCCAGUUGUGCGUCAAUCUUCCUAUUUGACGCAAGGAGGUCCCACACAUUGCAUCAAACUUUUGGCUAUUCGCACCACCAGAACUAUAUCUUGAUUAUAGCGAGAAUAGCUCUCGUCUCGCUGAAGGUUUUUCCAUCCCUCUUGUUUCUGGGCCGGCCCAUUUGUUAUUUUUUUCUCAUUUGCUCUUUCUUGUUCGCUUGAUCGGUCGUGUGUUGUCUGAUGGUUCUCCUUCAGUUUUCUUUUUUUCUUCUUUCUUUCUUUUUUUAGUUUUCUUUCUUCUCAAGGAUCUCUUCUGUUUUUUUAUUUUUAUUGGUUUUCUCAGUUUUUUUUCGGUUUUCACAGGUAUUUCUUUUUGUUUCUUUCUUUUUCAUACGAUUUCUUUGGUUCAUUUUAUCCUUCUCGGUUUUUUCACUGAUUCUUAUUUUCAUUCUUUUUUUACAAUGGUUUUGUUUUUUCCUUUUUCCCUUUUUCUACGUUUCAUUUUUUUUUGCACUUGUUUCUUCUACUUUCUUGUGUUAUUUUUUCUUUUGGUUUCUAUUGUUUCUUUGUUUUUAUUGCUUUUGGUUUUCAUUGGUUCUUUUGGUUUCCAUUUUUCAUUUUCACAUAUGCCAAUAACAUUCUUCUAAUAAACGUUCAACAUUUUAGAAUACAAUACUUUUUUAAUACAUGGUCAUUCUUUUAUCCACAUUUUAAAUAUUUUUAAGUGUUUAAGUAAAAAAAAUACAUGGUCAACUUUUUUGAUACACUUUAACAUUUUCAAAUGCUUGAUUAAAAUUUUCUAAAUACAAGAUUAACAUUUUUUAAGGCAUGGUCGUCUUUUUUCUAUACACAUCUAACAAUUUUCAAAUGUUUAUUAACACUUUUCAAAUACGUGUUUAACAUAUAUUUUUCAAAUACUUAAUUUCCAUUUUUUAAAUACAUGAUGAACGUUUUUCACACAUAUUGGAUACUUGUUGUAUACAUUCGUAUACAUGAGUAACAUUUUGGUUAUACACAUUUAAUAUUUUACAAAUGGUUGGUUAAUGUGUUUUGAAUACAUGGUUGUAUACAUUUUUCACAUACACGAGAAACAUUUUCUUUAUACACAUUUAAUAUUUUUGAAAUAUGUGGUUAAUAUUUUUUUCAGAUGUUUUUAUGUAAAGUGUUUUCCGUAAUAUAUUUAUUUAGAAUAUUUGAAAGUAUAAUAAAAAUUAGAAAAAUAAACAAAAACAAUAGAAACGUGAACAUAAAUUAAAAAAGAGACUAUGGCCUCCUGCGCACCUGGGCUGGCGCGUUUAGUGAGAAGCCUGGCACGAGAGCACGCUAGGUCUUGCGGUAAGCGAGAUAGGACGCCCCUAUGUCUCAGCCUUCGGCGAGUCCACCUUUUGACACGCUAAGGGGCGAUCGAUAUGGGCUGACCCACGCGCGCGGCAAGCCACAGGCUCAUUUUUCUGUUUUGUUUUUUUCUGUUAUCUGUUUUCUUUUUUGCUUUAUUUUUGUAUUUUUAAUACUUUAAUAUAUAAAAAUAUUUAACAAGUAUUUGAAUUUUUAAUCAAACAUUAAGAAAAAUGUUGAAUGUAAAAAGAAAGAUUUCUGAUCAUGUAUUGAAAAAAUGAUGAAUUUUUUUGAUCAUAUAUAUAAAAAUGUUAAUCAAGCAUUUGGGAAUUGUUAAAUGUUUACACAAAAAAUACUGGCCAUCUAUUAAAAAUAUGAUGAAAAAAUAUGAUCAUGUAUAUAAAAAUGUUAAUCAAGCAUUUGAAAAAUGUUGAACAAGUAUUUGAANNNNNNNNNNNNNNNNNNNNNNNNNNNNNNNNNNNNNNNNNNNNNNNNNNNNNNNNNNNNNNNNNNNNNNNNNNNNNNNAACAAGCAUUUGGAAAAUGCUAACUGUGUAGAGAAAAAAAAUGUUGACCACGUAUAAAAAAAUGAUGGAAAAAUUUGAUCAUGCAUAAAAAAAUGUUAAUCAAGCAUUUGAAAAAUUGUUGAACAAGUGUUUGAAAAAUUGUUGAACAAGUGUUUGAAAAAUACUAAUCAAGCAUUUGGAAAAUGUUAAAUGUUUAUAGAAAAAAUAUUGACCAUGUAUUAAAAAUAUAUUAAUCUUUUUCUUUGAAAACUUUUAAUCAAGCUUAAAAAUUAAAAAAUUUUAUAUAAAAAAUGUUGACAAUGUAUUAAAAUUUUUAAUCUUGUAUAAUUUUAAUCAAGAAUUUUAAAAAUGUUAAAAAAUAUGUAUAGAAAAAAGCUGACCAUCUAUUACAAAAUUGUUUAAUUUGUAUUGGGAAAAUGUUAGACUUGUAUUAGCAAAAUGUUGUUGACAUAUACAAAAAAUGUAGAAUGCUAACCGACAAGAACAAAGAAACCAGAAAAGAGAAAAAAAUAAAUAGAAGAAAAAUGAAAAUGAAAAAAAGAAACAAAAUGCAAAAAAGAAUGAAAAUGGAGAAGAAAAAAAAAGAAACAAAAAAAAACAA
rnacentral:lncRNA from 1 species